rnacentral:lncRNA from 1 species
AACAAUAAAGAUAAUCAAUGAUAAUGAUAAUUGAAGUGGGUCAUAUAUAAUAGGCGGAAAACAUGGUGAAAUCUAGGGUUAAGAUUAAAAAAGAUGAUGGAAGGGAAGAUGAAGGUGAAGAUGAAGAACAACAAUCAGAUUAGCGAGAAGAACAGGCAUCAAAAUUCUGGAUGGAGAAGUUCCAGUUUUCCAGACUGCAACAGCAGAAAUGAUAAGACCACCUGCUAAGAAGGCCAGUAAUCUGUCCUCAAUGCUGUGUGGAGGUGGCUGUUCAGAACAGUAUUUACCGCAUAGGGUUGCAAUGCAAUUCGGAACCGACGAAGAUCUUUCAGGGUUGUGUUGGUCAGUGCUCUAAUUAACAGACCUGAGAUUGCAGAGAGCUUAAAGCUUUUGUUGAAGAGCUUGAGCAGAUGAUCACACGAAUAAAAGCAGCAAGAUUAAAACAAAAAUUGUUAACCUAGCUAGCCUUCUUCGUGAGAAAGAUUUGCUUGAUUUUAUUUUAAUUGAAUUCAUGGCUUCUCUUCUCCUGUUGGCAUUGCAGCAGGUUCCUAUAUGGAUAACUCCCGCCAUUGACAACAGAUGCAGAACAAGGUUAAAAGGAUAAUAGAAAUAAAACUUGAAUUAACUUAAUAGGUUAACUAGUGACUCAAAUGACUUCAAACUUGAAUUAAUCUUGUAUUAAUUAAUCUAGGUUAAGAAAAAAUAAAAAUAACUUGACAUCAUAUUUAGUACAUGUUUGGUAUUGUGAUAUAAAAUGUUUUUUUUUGUAAAUGUCUUUUGUUUACAAAUACAUCAAAAUAAUUUUUUAAAAGAUUUUUUUAUUUUUAUAAUAGUACAUCAAAAUUAUCAGAAAAACACUAAAAAUAUAUCAAUUUGAUGUUUUUAAAUAUAAACACAUAUUUAAAAAAUACCUAAAAACAAAAACUACCGCAUUUCCAUCCGAGCUAUUUAAAAAGCAAAGAGGGAACUUUUGAGAUGAAUAAAAUCAAGAAUUGCAAUUGCUAAAUUUUUUAAUGUGUUUUUGACGUGGAACACAUAAUAAAAGUAUUAUCUAAAAAUAAAUCAAGUGUAUCAAAUGACAUUUAUAACAAAAUCAGACCAUGACUUUUAAUUCAAUAAUUAAAUUUUAAUAAAAAAAACUUCUAUAACAUUUUAAAGGACUUAUUCUUUAUAGAAACAUCGACAAAACAUCAUUAAUGUUUGAUGUAUAGAGGUAUCAACUAUAACUUGAUGUCUUAUGAUGUAGAAAUAAAUAUCUUCUAGGGCACUAUAAAAGUUUUAAAGGUAGCAUAAAGAACCAUAAUAUAGAUAUUUGAUUAGCAAGAGAAUUCCAUAGCAAACUUAAUUGAGGGGAUGGAUCAACUACUAGGAGGAGGCAAAUAAAAAACUUGGAGAAGAGAGAGACGUGUUUAAAAACUUACCUCAAGGUGAACCAAACCCUAGAUCUAUUUCUACAAACUCAUAAAGACAUCAUGUCUAUUUAGAAAGUGAUUUGUACGAUGAACUAAAAACUUUGUCUAUAGCUAAACUUUCAUAGACACUUUUCUAAUUUUGAUGAAAUUCCUUUUGUUGAUAAGAAUUUUUCAAAAAAAAAAAAAAAAGGUUUUUUAGAUUAUUGUCAAAGUUAAAAGCUUACUUUUAUUUGAACAAGAUUUUUUAUUAUCAAAAUAAGGAUUUUCCAUACAUAAAUUUACUUAUUAAGUUGAAGGUUGGUGGUUCAAUCUUGUGGUUGAUGGAGCUUGUAUUGAUAAAUUUGUAAUUUCAUCAUAAAAAACUAUAAAAUAUAUUAAUUUUAGAGUUUGUACAAGAUGAAUAAAAAAAUAUUUUAUUUUGGUCAUAUAAUCACAAUCAAGUUAUUAUUACUUACCUUAUGUUCAACUUUCAACAAUAACACAAAAACAAAACAUGGAGGAGAACUAGCUUAAGGCUAAAAUUAUUUGAGUCAAUAAUAAGAAAUAGUUGAAAAACAAUUCAAUUUCUAUCUUGAACAUACUUAUUGUUCUUACUUUAUUGAUCAAUGUUGUUGGUAAUAGUGAAUUAAUUAUUUUAGCUAUAGUUUAUUUUUAAAGAAGUAGAAUAACCAAAAUUAUCACCAUCCUUGAGGAACAACAUGAAAGCAUAAAUAUAUUGAAAAACCAAAGUAACAUGAAGUAGAGGUAACAUUUCAAAGAACAAUAUGAAGAUAAAGAAUAUGUUGAAAUUAAACCAAUGAAUGAAAAGGUAGAAAAGUUACUAAUUUACUCAGGAAAUUAGAGUUAAAAUUAAAAAAAAAGAAAGAUAGAAAAAUAUUAUCUUCCUCCUGAAAUCACAAGAAAGUUUUGUCUAAAGGAUAAAAAGAAAGAGACUCAAAAAAUUUACUUUGUUAGCAUUUUAGUAAAUGAGGUUCAAUUUAUGAACAUGUUAAUUAUAAUGCUAAGUAUUUUAUGUUUUUUUUGGAAUGAAAGAUUUCAAUUUCUAAUUAUGAAACUAACAAACGAGUUCUUCUCAAGUAAAGAAGCUUGACACGAGAUGUGCAACAAAAGUCUUAACUUAAGAAGAAGUUUGGAUGUGUUAAAUGAUAUUUUUGACAAAAAAAAAUAGUUAUAAUUUUUUAUUCAAUUGUUGAAUCAAAUUAAAAUUUUAGAGAAUGUUCUAAGGCCUUGUUUCAUAAUAGGAAUAUCAAAGCAACAUCAUCCAAGUUUAGGAACAUGCCCACAUUAGAUAAAAAAAAAUAAAAAAAUGACAGGAGAUUUUUUUUAUUUUCCUAGUUGUUUUAGGAUUUUUUUUUUUAUGUAAAGUUUUAGAAUAUUAUUUGAUUCAUAUUUCUAUACCUAAGUUGGUGUUAUCUCUUGUUUAAACAUGUUAAAUAAUCCAAAUAUAUAAAGAAAAAUACAAAAAUAAGAGAGGAAAAGACUAAUAUUUCAUUGAUAUUUUAUAAUCACUAUAAUUUAAAGGAAUAAGUUUGAUUUAAAUACAAAAAAAUUAUAUAUAAACUAAAUUAAACUGAAAAGAAAAUAUUAUUUUACUUUCAAUAAAUAAAACAAAAUAACUUAUAUUUCUUAACAAAACAGUGGAAUUUUUCAUUAAAGAGGAUAUUGAUUAUUAAAAAAUUUAUUUAGAACUUUUAAGUUUUAGAGUUUUCUUUAUAAUUCAGAGAUAUAAUUUUAGGACUUGAAAAAAUUUAGUUUCUUUUUUAUAAAUAGUUUAUGGAUGUAAUUUUUAAUACUUGAGAAACAUUCUUCUCGAGAAGAAAAAAAGGAGAUAAAAAGUUAAGGGAUUGGACUGAUUGUGUUCUGGUGCUGAAGUCUAGAGUUUGGAGGUUCUGGGGAAAGGGUUUUGCUAAGGUUCAAGAGGAAAUGGGCAAAGCAAGGACAAAAGUGAGCAGAGUGCAUGCAGCUGGGAAUCGUGAAAAGGCACAACUUUCCUGGCACACCGGAAAAUCAAUAAUAAAUUAAUACAGGUUAGCUGCUAUCAAUUUGCGAAAUGCUCUUAGUAAUUUGAAACCUUUUUAUUGCAAAAUCGUCCUUGGCCCACAGGAAAUGUAUUUCAGUUUAGUGGUUUCUUGGUGAUUGAAGUGGUAACAAGAAGAAGCAACCGCCGACAACAAGAACACUGCUGCUGCCCUCCACUUUCCUUUUUCCCGCGAAUCCCUUUCGCUGUAUGUAGUGAACUGUUCACAAAGCUUGGACAGGGAGGCACUUGAGAAGCAACAAUGCUACAUGCCUAAUAGCUACUAGGUAAAGGAUGCUCUUACAGACGCCAUUUGAAGAAAAAAAAAGUUAAAGUUUUUUUAAAAACAAUCUCGUAAUCUUUUCAAAAGUUUACCCCUAACUGUGUUUCUUAUUGUAUUUAAGAUAAGAUUUGAUUAAGAAAUCCAUUGAAUUUCAGGCUAAAAGGCUAGAGAAUAGGAGUAUCCUUUUCUCUCUAAUCCUUUAUCCUUUGUGUGAUUGGAAAUGGAUCUGUACUAAUUAGUACCUUGCUAGAACUGACUUCACAGUGUAAACAUCAAGCUCCCAUCUUUUCUGUUCUUUCCAAACAAGAUCAUGACCUUGUGAACCAAAAACAGCAAAAGAGUCUGCCUAAUAUUUCCAAUUUCACAAUUUAAUGGGUCCAGUGACCUCACAGGAUCCUUCUAGCCUUUUCCACGAAUAAAAUUCUAACAAGCCUAUGCGAUUGCUUGUUGUUUGUUAACUGAUCCUAUAUCCACUGAUAAUGGCUAAGCAAGCAAAGAUUUUCACUAUCAGUUUGCUUCAUUCACACAGAAACUCAGCUAAGAACUGACUGAAACAUGAACCAUUGCACAAUGCUGGUACACUUUACAUGUAUCAUUACAGACAUACCAGCUACAAAACAUACAAUUAUAUCUGCAAAGAGACAGGUUGGCUCCUAACAAUUUUUGCUACUUAGUUCGUGCAAAAAGUAACUAAAACAUAAGCCAAAAGAGCUGUAGAACUCUAUAUAUCUACCUCACUCAGCAUGUUAAUUCUAUUUGUAUUAACUACAUUGUGAUAUUGUUGGUCAGACAAACCUUCUUCUGGCUAAAUUUAGCAGCCUUUAGCCCAUCAAUUUCUUUCCUAAGCUUGUCGAUCCGAGCUUCAAGUUCUAAUCCAUCUGUGUGAAUAUCAAAACGACUCCUACUUCCUCUUUCAUCAUCUUUGAGAAAACCUGCACCAUGGAGUACUGGACUAGGGCUAUCUAAUUUGUUUUUGCUGGAGUUUUCCGUGGUUGUGCUUUCUUUUCCACUCCUAGGUUCCUUCUGAAUGCUGCUUUCCUUCAAUUUCAUCUCUGCAUCAACAUUUGUAACAUCAUUGUUUUCUGCAGCAGAAGAUAAUAGAUUAUGUGUAGUAGCCGGCAAAGACUUGCGAUCACCAUAUAUUAUAUGAUCAACACUUUUGAGCUUUUUAUGAGUAAACAACUCCUUCAAUGUUAGAUCAUCCUCCUCAUCAGAGUCCAAGCCUUCAACAUGUUGACAUUUAGGAGGGUAACCAGGAGGAUACAGAGGAUCAUGAUCUGACUUCUUCCCUUUGAAACAUGGAACCGAAAUUUCUGAACCUUUUGGAUUUCCACUUCCAUCUUUCCCACCAAACACUGAUUGCUUCCACCAUUCCAAGUAUCUCAUAGUAACAUCUGGCUUGCAAUGUCUUGAUGGAAUAUAUAGCAUUGCAUUUUUUAUUUGCUUAUCAAAACGCCUCCAGGAAAGUUCUUGAGUUUCAUUUCUUCUCUUUACAGGACCUGGAAGAUCUUGAUCCAUGCCAAACUGCAUUGCCACUCGAUGCGGGCUGUACUGUUCUACACACCCUAUUCCAACUAAUUGACAUGCUCUCAAGCAUCGAGUAAAGGAUUUCAAUUCGUCAUCAGCAUCAACAUCAACAAGCACCCAUUUCUCUUCAUCACCAUAAAUUUUGUAGCACAAACUCUCCACGGCUGUGGCAUAAGGGCGCCACUGGAAACUUCCUUCAGAAUCUAGGGCCAAUCUUACAUUCCUAACGGUUGAACUAUUCACAUUAUGCCAUCUAGCUAAUCUCGGCACUUCCAAGUCAGUCACAUUAGGCUUUGGUUGCAAUUUUGGAAACCUCUCCCAGGCCCAAACCUGAACUAUAUGAAAUGGUGACCAAAUGGUGAGUUCUAACUUUUGAUCAUCAUUGUCAUCCUCAAAAGAAACUAAAUUGGACAAAGCUAGAAUCUUUUUCUUCAACAACCUCAAGUCUCGGUAAAUGCUUGCAAGAAGGGCAGGUCCAAGUGCAAUUUUGAUACCUCUAGCUAGACAAACAGCAAUUGGAAAAACAUGUUUGGGAAUGCUCAUAUUUGGGACACUGGGAAAAACAAACCUCGACAACCAUAGUGACAGAAAAGCCUCGUGCUCGACUUCGCUGUUGUUUUCCAUGAGAUAUUUAAUCCAGGAAGAAUGGUCAACUUUUUUGCUUUUUGACCGCCUCAACAGUUCUCGGAUUUCCAUUAGCUUUUGUUCAGCUUCAUGCAAUUCCUCUGUUUCAAGAGGGGUAAAAACAGGGGACCCCAAAACAGAGUACCCUGCAACCAAAAUAUCUUCCAAGGUGAUUGUUGCUUCACCCCAAGGAAAAAUGAAUGUGUUAGUUUCAAAACACCAUUUCUCUGCUAACCCAAUAAGGAAAUCAUCGUCUCUUCCGAUUUGGUAAAGAGAACUCAUGACUGCUUGAUAGAUUCCAACUUUUCUCCAUGUUGCUUCAUGCAAAGCAGCCAUUUUAUCAACCCAUUCUUUCCACCUCCUUUGUGCAUAUCUCCAACCAUGGAAUGUUAUUCUUAAAGGCCACUUUUUGGGUUCAAAGUUAGAGGGCAAGGAGAAGUUGUAGUGUGAAGGGUGUUUGGGAGUGUUUUCAUCUAUGGAAGAGGUUAUUGAGGGUUUGAUAAAAUGGGCUGUUCUAAGUGUUGGCUGUGCAUCGCCAGAGAGUGAAACCAUAAGUUCCUUUCUCGUUUCAACAAUGGGUCCUUCUGAUUUCUCCAUAGAAAAAAACGGUGAAGUUUCUUGCAGAGAAAGAGAAGGAGAGGUUCGGGCUUAGGGAGAGCCAAAGGUUGCUGACAUGAUUGUUUCGAACUAGCAAAGGAAGUUAAUGUGACGAUACAAUUUCAAGUAUUCAAAGCUUCCUCUAGAAUCUAUACCUUCACUACAUCUCUUCCAAAUAAUGUGUUAAAAAGAAUAAAAAUAAAGGCAGUAGAAAUGUCGAUAUAAAGUCAUGGCUCAUGAUUGCAUAAGGGAAUUAAUUUAAUUUUUGGAUGCGUAAGAAGUGGGGAGAGAACUUUAGAAAAUGGAUAAAAAGAGAUUCUGUUUAUUUUUUCUUUUUAAAAGUUUUUUUUAAAUAAUAUUUUUUAUUUUAAAUAAAAUUUUUAAAUAUUUUUACAUCGUUUCGAAGAAAAAAAGAGAAACAUUCAUUGGGAAGAAAAUAAAAGGAGCUAAAAAGUUUAGGGCUUGGACUCUGUGUUUCGGUGCGAAAGUCAAAGUUUGAGGUUUUUGUGGCAAGGGUUUGGACUGAAGAAAGCAAGGGUGGAAGCAGCUGGUAAUCGUGAAAAGGCAUAACUUUUCUGGCACACCGGAAAAUCAAUAAUAAAUUAAUACAGGUUAGCCCAUUUAUUUGACGUUUGAAGUAAUUUGAAACCUUUUUAUUGCAAAAUCGUCCUUCGCCCAUGGUGUGUACGCCGUUUUUAAAAUUGCAUUUGAGAGUGUUUUAAUUUGAAAAAGUGUUAUGUUAUUGUUUGGAGUUGAGUUUCAACUUGUUUUUAUUGAAGUUUGAAUUUUUUUUAUUUUAAAUUAAUUUUUUAAUAUUUUUUAAUUGUUUUCAAAUAUUGAUGUUAAAAAAAAUUUUAUUUUAAUAUAUUUUUAAAUAAAAAUUACUUAAAAAAACAACCACAAUCACAUUUUUAAAUACCUUCUAAGUGCCUGUUUGAGAAUGUUUCAAUCUGUGUUAUGAGAUUGUUUCAAUAUGUGUUAAAGUGUGUUUCAAAAAUAUAUUUGUCUUAAAAAAUAUUAAAAUUGAUAUUUUUUAAUUGAUAUUUUUUUAAUACUUUUCAAUAAUUUUGAUAUGUUGAUAUUAAAAAUAAAUAUAAAUCUAAAUUGAUAUUUUCAAUGUUUUCUGAUAAUUUUGAUAUAUUAAUAUAAAAAAUGAAAAAAUUAUUUUUAUUUAUUUCUAAAUAAAAAAAACUUUUGAAAAAUAAAUGCACCAUAAUAUCUUAUGUAUACUAAAUUGAUGUUUUUAAAAAUAUUUUUUAAUAAUUUUAAAAUACUGAUAUUAAAAAUAAAAAAAGUUAUUUUAUUAUAUUUGAAAAAAACUCCUAAAAAAUACAGGACAAAAACAUAAAAAUGGAUAGCAGCUUUGUUACAGAAAAUACUGCUCAUCCUUGCAGCACGUACAGUGUAGGAAACAACCAUUUUUCUGAUCCUUACACUGCAGAAGUAAAUAAAAACUUCAGACACUCUCUCCAUAGUUGUUGUCUUUAUUCCUUUUAACAUUUCAGUGUCUAUCAAUUUCUCGAUUCCUAGAACAAAACCUAGCUCUUUGCCUUUCCUUUGUGGAAAACGCCUUGAAGAGUUUCUGCAAUAAUUGGUUUCCUUCAUUCUCCCAGGAAACAAACAAACUUUGGGAUUCUUAUCAAUACAUAAUAGGUCCACUCACCAUUGUGAAAACCUCUUGAAACCCAUGAAUGGAAGAGGUGAAAGAAACCAUGCUCGAUGUUAGAGAAGAGCAAAUGGUGUCGUUCACUGGUGGCAGCAAACCAACUCUAAGAACAGCCCAUUUCCUCAAACCUACUGUGGCCACCAGUACAAGGUCAGUCCCCAAGCCCCCUACAUGUUCUCUAUCUUCUCUACCUUCAACUUUUGAGCCUAAAGAAUGGCCUCUGAAGAUAAACUUCAGUGGUUGGCAGAAGCCUAAACUGAACUGGGCAACAUGGGUUCAUAAGUUGAAAUUCAAGUAUCAGCCUUUAUGGAAGAAGGCUGGAAUUUAUGAAGCCAUCAUGCAUUCUACAUUCAUUGUUGUAAGAGACUAUGAUUUUAUCAUUGGACUUGCAGAGAAAUGGUGUCCUAAAACCAACACAUUUGUAUUUCCUUGGGGAGAAGCAACCAUCACCUUAGAGGACAUGAUCAUUUUGGGAGGGUACUCUGUUUUAGGCUCCCCCGUUUCUUCAUGCUCUGAUUAUGAAAGCAGAGAAUUGAAGGAAAUUGAAGAUAAACUAGCUGAAGCUGGGAGGAAUAUCAGCAGGGGUAAGGUUAUUAAGCCUUGCCAAUCUAAAUGGAUGGAGAAGUUCAUGGACAGCGGGAGUGAAAUCGAGCACGAAGCUUUUCUUUCACUUUGGCUGGCAAGGUAUGUUUUUCGAGAUUCUGAUAUUGUACUCAAGGGCCAUUUUUUUCCAAUAGCAAUUCAAAUGGCAAGAGGGGAACGUAUUGCACUUGCUCCAGCAGUUCUGGCUAGCAUUUAUAGAGACCUGAGUUUGUUGAAAGAAACAAUUGUUUUUACCACCAAGUUAGAGACUUUUGAGGAUGGUGUAUUGGCACUAACAAUUCGGUCACCGUUUCUGUUAGUCCAGAUUUGGGGUUGGGAGAGGUUUCCGAUGUUCCAACCGAAGCCCGUUUUCCUCAAGAAUGGUGAUCCCAGAUGUGCUUUAUGGGAUAGUGUGAAAGGUGUCAAAGUUGAGAAUGCAAGGCUGGCUUUGGAUUCAGCCGGGGAGGCUUUUCGAUGGCGGCCUUAUGCAAACCCAGGAGUAAGAGGUUGGCACUUCCCGGAGUUUUACAGAGAGAAAGGAGAAUGGCUAGACCUGGGAUCUAAUGAAGAUUUGUUGUCAUUUUCCCUAUGCUUGACAGUAUCCAAGAUGGAUGGUCUAGGCUGUUCAGAACUGUAUCUUCCUCAUCGUGCGGCAAUGCAAUUCGGAAUGGAUCAAGAUGUUCCUUCUCCUGUAGCUCGAUCAAAUGAAAGCUGCAAAUGUGCUUCGAAAAAUUACAUUAAGUCAUUUUCCAAUUCCAAAUUCUAUUUUCCACCUCGGUUAUUCGAGUCUGAUGUUACCAUUAGAUACUUGAACUGGUGGAGAGGGUCGGUGCAAGAGGUGACUAAGGAUGUGACUGAAGGUGUUGUGCGAAGGAAACGAAGUUUCCGAAAGAGAUCAAAUCGAGUUCCAUGGGUUUCAACAAAGAAUGAAGGCAAUGAUUUAGAUGUCCCCCCUGGUUUUCCUCCCAAAUCUGGCAGGAUGAAAGAAGGGGAUGUGGCUGAGAAUGAAAAAACAACUUUGGAGGAUAUAUUAAGAGACUGUAGCCUUCAUAACAGUUUAGACAGAAGGGAAGGUACAUCUGUUUAUACUUAUGGUCUCGCUCACAGUCCUUCAAUUGUAAAAACAGGCGGUGCAGGUUUUCGAAAGAUCGAGGCGCUAACACAACCAGAAGGAAAAACCACGCAGGUUAAAGCUGGAAAGGAUGGUUUGCAAAAAGCCUCAGAAGACGCAGAUGUGUUCAUAGCUGAGACUUCUGCUAACAUGGCGAGCACCAGCAAAGAUGCAGAAGAAAGCAACGGCUCUGUCUUUCAGAUCCCAGUAAAUGAACUUGAUGCUCGGGUUGCUAGGCUUGAGAUGGUAAUGGCCAAGAUAAAAGCAGCAAGAUCAUGUUUGUCAAAAACCCCACAGAAGAAUCUGCUCCCCUGAUGAACUAAGCAGUAUGAUUUCAUUUAAGUGCAUGUUUCCUUUGAUGCUUGCUAGGCUCGUAACAAUUGUAAUCCUUAAAUAGGUCUACAUUUCUGUGUAAAUUGCUUGCUUGAAUUACAAACCUUCUCUGGAUGUAUUACCCAGCCUCGAGUGUAAUCAGUGAAAAGUAAAAUCAUGGAAUAUUUUCAGUAUAAAGUGUAAACAGGAUGAUUUUAUGGAAACACAUGAUAGGCACGUUUCGGUAAGAUAGCUAGAUAUUAAAAAAUUAUUAAUUUAAUAUAUUUUCAAAAUAAAUAUUUAAUCUGGCCUUAUAUAUAUAUAUAUAUAUAUAUCAUGUUGUGAUUAGCAUGUGACUAUUUGUUUUUUAAUUAAGUAUUGUUAUGUGUUAGGGACUUGGUAUUGACAAAACAAGGGGCUAGAUAAAGAUAUAUAUCUUUUUAAAUUAACACGGUUUUUUAAAACACUUGAAAAAAAUAAUAUGUUUUGAAAAAUAAUUAGCAAAAAUAAUAUAAUUCGAUACAUGUCGUAAUUGAAAAUUGCCAUAUUUUAAAGUUAUCACUCAAAUAAAAUGUGACAUUUCAAACAAAUUGUUAAAUGGCUUCAUAAAUUACAAUAAAAAAAAAUGAAAGAGAAAAAUAAAGACUUUGAAACACAUCAAAAUUAUGAUUACAAUACCACCAGUAUUAUUAGAAAAAACUCAACAAAAAAAAUUCAAUGACACUAAGAAAAAUCACCAAUGAUGCAAGUGAGCAAUUAUAAUGAGAAAACAAGAUAAAUAAAAAUAAAGAAAGAAAAAAAGAAAAAGACAUGGAGGUACACCGAAACCAUGAUUAUGACACCGUUGGUACCAUUAAAAAGAUUUUGAUUACAAGAAUCUAACAAUACUGAAAAAGGUCACAAAUGGUGAUUAGAAUGGGUCGCACAUAGUGGGUGGCUUACUUGUCUUUGAACGGAAAAUGUGACUCACUUUGGUCAUCUUUGGUGACUCACUCCGGUUAUCUUUGGUAAUAUUUCUUGGUGUUUUUGAAUUCUUCUCAUCAAGAUUUUUUUGAUGGAUCUUGUGUUAUAAUUAAAGCUUUGAUAUGUCUUUAUGAUCAUUUUUUUUUUCUCUGCUCAUUGUAAUUUGUGCAAUUCAUUCAACAAUUUCUUUUUGAAAAUGCUGCAUUUCUGAUCAUAGAUGACUUUAAAUGUCACUUUUUUCGAUCAAGACAUAUAUCAACCAUGUUAUUUUUUAAUUUCUUUUUUCAAGUUGUGUUAUUUUACUAAUUUUUUUUAAAAAAUAUGUUGUGUUUUCCAAUUAUAACAUGUAUUAACUGUGAUAUUUUAUAUAAAAAAAUUCAAACUAUUUUAUUUUACUAUUUAAAAAAAUACUCGUGCUAAUAAGAAAAUUAUGUUAGAUAAAGGGACUUAGUGAGUAUUAGCUUUUGUUUUGCAUUGCAAAAUAUUUUUCAAAGUAUUUUUAAAUUUGUUUUCCUUAAAAAAGAUUAAAUUAAUUUUUUAAAAAAAUGUUUUUAGAUAAUUUUGAUAUGUUGAUAUUUAAAAUAAAUUAAAAAAAAUCUAUGAUAAAUUAUUUUGAUAUAUUUUAAAUUAAAAAACAUUUUUAAAAAACAUUUUACAUCCCAAUACUUUACAAACACUUAAUUUAUAAGGUAAUUAAUGUUCGCACCCGCACAAUUCUCUUUGUGGAGUGAUAAAAUCUAUUAUACUAAAUUAUAUAUCUCUUAAAUUGUAUGUAAAGUAACGAAUACAGUUACUGAGUUACAAAAUGGUUUUCUCAAUAUUAUAUUAACAAGUCCCAUGUUUCAGUUACGAAGCAUAUCUACCCAUUUCUGGUGCUUCUCUUCUAUAAUUAACUUUUUUCAAGGAAAACAUGGUGAAAUCUAGGGUUAAGAAUAAAAAAAGAAGAUGGAAGGGAAGAUGAAGUACAACAAUCAGAUUAGCGAGAAGAGCAAGCAUCAAAAUUCUGGAUGGAGAAUUAUCGUAUUGUAAUGAGAAGUUCCAGUUUUCCAGACUGCAGCUGUAGAAAUGACAAGGACACCUGCUAAGAAGGCCAGUAAUCUGUAGUGAAUGAGGAAAUUCAUGGAUAGUGGCAGCGAGAUUUAGCAUGAAGCGUUUCAAGGUAUAUUCUCCCAUAUACUUAUGAUUCCAUCAGGAAGCUUGUUUUCUCUAUUGUAAUUCAUGUCGCUAGAGGCAAUAGAAUUGCACUUGCACCUGCACCUGCUGUUCUUGCCUGCAUUUACAGAGAUAUAUAUGACGUUGUUGAAAGGGAAAUCGCAGAGUCAACCUUGUUGGGGAUUCCAAAGGGAAAACAUGAUGGUUUAACAGUUAAGCUUUGGUCAUCAACGCAAUCAGUUCAGGUUUGGGUUUGGAAGAGGUUCAAUGAACUGCAGCCGAAGCCUAAUCUGAUGAAGAGUGGGUGCCCUAGGUUGGCUCAGUACUGGGACAAAUUGAAACAGAAAGUUGAGAGUGUUUCGUUGGUUUUAAUCUUUGAGGAUUUCAAUGCAAUUCGGAAGUGAUGAAGAUCUCUCAGGUUGCAUGGGCUGCUGCUGACUGCAGAUGACAUUUAUUCCCACUUGACGUGUGAUGACCCAACACGCAGUCUACGCGGCGCUGUUUGUUCAGCCGAACCAAAACCUGAACUGAAAUAUAAAUAUAUUUUUUUAAUUUUUUAAUAUAUAUAUAUAUAUAUAUAUAAAAAGAAAUUAAUUUGAAGGAAAUAUUUUUUUUAUAAAUACUUUUAAAUUGUAAGUAAAAACAAAUGCUCUAAAAAUAAUUGGGGUCAUUGUAAACAAAUAAUGUUGUUUGAUUUUUAUAUUUUUUAAAUAUUUUUAUUUUGUAAUAUUGAAAAAUAUAUUAAUGCAUUCGAGUUUUGCAGUGUAAUCCAUUAAAUACACAACUUGAUCAUUAACUUCAUUUAUUCAACCUUCUUCUGUUUGCUCUCCUAUUGAAGCGAAAUGAAAAGCAAGAAGCUACUGGAUUUAGGGUUUGUUUGGGAAUGCAAUUAAAACUAUGUUUUUUAUAUAAAAAAAAAUUCAUUUUUUUAAAUUAUUUUCAUGUUCUGAUAUAAAAAAUAAUUUUUAAAAAAUAAAAAAUAUUAUUUUAAUAUAUUGUUAAGCAAAAAAUACUUUAAACAACAAUUGCUACCAGACUCCCAAACAUAUCUAUUGAUUACAACAAACAUACAAUCAAAGCUUUUCAUUUUGUUAAAUAUUUCUAUGCACUACAAUGUAUUCAUGUUUUCAAGAAAUAUAUAUAUACAAAAGGAAGUAAGAAAACCUCGUCUACUUAAACUCCUAUUCUAGGUAAGAUAAUAAUCUGUACAAAUAGAUUUCAUUACAAUCUUGGAAUCCAUACAUAUCUUACCAGCUAAUACACAAUCUUGUUAGCUAACACUCUCCCGCAAAUUGGUGCAUAGAUGUCUAUCAUGCCUAACUUGCCAAUCAUACUAUAAAAAUCCUUGUUUGAUACUGCCUUAGUGAGGAUAUCAAUUAUAUGACUUGUAGAUUUAACAAACAGAAAACAUAUAAUUUUUUUAUAUCUAACUUCUCUUUGAUAAAAUGACGGUUUACUUCAACAUGUUUAGUUCGAUCAUGUUAAACAUGAUUGUGUGCAAAUCUGAAUUGCUACGUUAUUAUCACAUUACAAAUUGAUAGAAUCUAUAUACUUGAUCUCUAAAUCCUUCAAAACACUCUUGAUCCAUAACAACACAUAUAUUCCCUAAAUCAUUCCUUGAAAUUCUACUUCUACACUAUAUUUUGCUAUAACUUUCUAUUUUUUACUUCUCCAAGUAAUCAAAUUCCCUUCCAUAAAGGUCGAAUAACCAGACAUAAACCUCCUAGGUGUUUGAUUUCUUGCCCAGUCUGCAUCAAUAUAGCCUUUAAUAUUUGAGACACCAUUCUUCAAGUAUAAUUAACCUUUGUUAGGCGCACCUUCAAGAUACUUAAGAUCAUGUAGACUGCAUCCAUAUGCUUCUCAUUUGAUGCAUGCAUAAAUUGGCUCACGAUACCUAUAAUAUAUGUUAUAUCAAAUCUAGUAUGGGUUAGGUAAAUUAACUUAUCCAUAAGUCUUUGAUACCGACCCAUAUCUGUAGGGAGUUAAUCUGGAAAGAUCCCAAGUCGAUGAUUCGUUUGUAUUGGUGUUUCAAUAGGUUUGCAAGCUAGUAUCUCAAUCUCACUUAGAAGAUCCAAUAUGUAUUUAUGCUGUGAAAGGGAAAUUCCUUGUUUGGACCUUACUACUUCAAUGCUAAGAAAAUACCUUAGUUUUCCCAAAUCUUUCAUUUUGAAUUCUAUAGACAAGUACUCUCACAAUGUCCUCAUUUCUUUAGGAUCAUUACCUAUCAAAAUCAUGCCAUCUAUAUGCACAAUCAAUAUCGUUACCCUUCCAUCUUUAUGUUUUACAAAUAACGUAUGAUCUAUAUUGCUCUAUUGAUAACUAAUUGCUUUCAUUGCCAAAGUAAACCUCUCAAACCAUGCGCGAGGAGAUUGCUUUAAACCAUAUAGAGAUCUAUUUAGGUUGCACAUUCUGCCUUCGUGUUUGGAACUUUGUUUUAUUCCAAGCAGAGGUUCUAUGUACACCUCUUCUUCUAGAUCACCAUUCAAGAAAACAUUUUUUUAUGUUGAAUUGUUGUAGGGGCUAAUCUCAAUUUGCAGUAAUGGAUAUGAGAAUACAGAUGGUGGUGAGCUUGGCUAGUGGUGCAAAGGUCUCUUGGUAGUCGAUACCAUAUUUCUAGGCAUACCCUUUGGCCACGAGUCUCGCUUUAUAUCUAUCAAUGCUUCCAUCCGCUUUAAGUAUAACAAUGUAUACCCAUCUACACACAAUUGCAUUUUUUUUUGCUGAUAACACAACAAGUUCCUAAGUGUAGUUCUUCUACAACGCUUCCAUCUCUUCAUUCAUAGCCUUUUUUCACCUUGAAUCUGCCAAUAUAUCCUGCAAAUUAUUAGGAAUAGACACUUUGCAUAAUUGAUUAAUGAUUAGUGCAUAAGAUUCUAAAAGUCCAUGAAAAGAGACAUAGUUAUUGAUAGGAUAUUUAACAUUGGUUUUAAUGUCCAGCUUAUAUUGUUUCUUUGUAACACCUUUAUGAGGUCUUUGUGAAUACUUGGGAGUGGGUUGAGAUGUAUCCUUAGUGGUGGGAUUAUCUAGGAUAUUUUAAGCAGAAGACUCUCUAGUUGAUGGUACGAGUAAGUCACUCAUCGCAGUUUCUUCCUCACUGAGGUUCGUAGCUUUUGUGUCAUCAGCACACAAUUCAAUCAUCUCAGCUUCUUCCCCAUCAUGGUUUACAACUUCUGUGUCACCAACAUAAUCCCUACAAAGGUAAUUGUGCAAUGAUAAAUUCCUCUCGUUUGGAAUAGUUUAAGUACCAGUGAACAAAGUAGCAUUAUGCUUAUUACUACUCUCUUUUUUUUCAAAUGCCACUAGCUAUAUAAAAACACCACCUCACUUUUAUCAAAAAUAAUAUUGCAAAGCUUACCCUUUUCAUACACAUUCUCCCCCUGAAGAGGAGAGCCUAAAUCGUUUACUAAAUACUAAGGAUUCAUUUCACGAAAGGAGACAUCAAGAGAUACAUGUAACUCGUGAGUUUGAGGGUAAUAACAUCUGUACCCUUUCUGAAAAUCAGGGUAACUAAUAAAUACACAAUGUUGGGCAUAGGGAUCAAGCUUGCUACGCAAGACUUUGAGUAUGUGAACAUACAUUGUAUAACCAAAGGUUUUAGGUUCCAAGUUUGGUUGAUGGGGUAUGUAAAAGAAGGUUUGUAAUUUUUAGUAUAGGGUCUAGAAAUCAAUCACCCAGGAAGGCACUGUAUUGAUAAUGUAGACAACAGACUUGGCAGCCUCUUCGCAAUAGAAAGGAGGCAUAUUCAUUCCAAAAAAAAUGCACGUACCACCUCCAUGAUCUACCUAUUUUUCCUCUUCACAAAGCCAUUUUAUUGAGGUGUGUAGGUGUAAGAAGUAUGAUGUCUAAUUCCUUAUUGUCAAAGAUAAUCACCAAGCGAGUUCUCAAGAAAUUCCAUGGAAUUGUCAUAUUGCCAUACCUGAAUUUGUUUUUGAAAUUGAGUUUUCUCCAUGUUGUAAAAUUCCUAAAAAAUAGUACUAGCAUCACUUAUCUUAGGUAAUAAGGAUACUCACGUCAUACGAGUGCAUUCAUUAAUAAAGGUAAUAAAAUAACAAGUUUUAGCCAUAGAUGGGAUUACUGCAAAUCCCCAAAUAUCAAAGUGAAUAACCAGAAAGGGUUUAGAGCUUUUGUUGAAAGAAGGGAAGUAAGGUUUACAAUGGCUUUUUGUCAAUUCACAAAUGUCACAUUGAAAAUCCAAAAUAUGCAAUUCUAUAAACAAAUUAUGUUUUAAUUUCUGAAGCUAACUAAAGGAAAGAGGCCUUAGCCUCUUAAGCUAGAGCUACACCUUAGACAACUUCCUAUCACCUUUCGUCACAAAACAUGCCUUAAUGUACUGCCAUUUGUUAGUUGUUGUCAAUUUCAAGUAGUAGAGGUUGCCCCAUUAAUUUAACAUCACAACCAAGAGUCUUUUGGGUCAAAAUAUCCUGAAAAACACAAUAAAAAGACCAAAAAAGUAACAAUGUAAUUUAGUGCUAAAGUGAUUUGGCCUACAUAUAACAAAUUACAUUCAAGACUAUGAACAACCAAUAUUGUAUUAAGAGUUAUGGCAGUAGUUAGAGCAAUGGAGCCCUUUCUGGUAAUAAGGGAGAUAUCAUCAUUGACUAUAGAUAUGACUUGUUGGGAUGAUGAACGAAGAUUUUGUAAUUUACUAGAGUCUUUAAUCAAAUGAUCGUAUGCACCGGUAUCAAUAAUCCAAGUAUUAUCCAUAGUAAUAGCAGAAAGAACACUAGCCUUAACAAUAUUACCUGGCUGAGUUAAAUUAGUUAAAUUAACAGUAGGCAUGGAAGUCCCCUCCUAAAUUAGAUGGCUUUCACCUGAUUUCGCCAUUACAGUUUUUCUAGUAAUGUUCUUCCGUGAUUUUUUUCAAAAAUCCUACCAUUCAGGAUAUCCAAUAAGCUCAUAGCAACGCAGCUUUGAAUGACUAGAUUCACCACAGUGGAUACAAACAUAGUUAUUUGGCUUUCCUGAAUCUUGACUAUUUUUCCCUUUGGCAGAACUAGAAGCUAUUCCUCGCUGGUUUUGAUUAGCUAUCAUGGUUGUAUUUUCAAAGACCGGCCGAGAAACUCCAAUAACUUGUCAUUGUUGUGACUCUCUUCUCACACAUGCGUAGGCUGCUUCUAGGUCCAGUUUUGGUUCCUUUCAAAGAAUUUCCCCAUGGAUUUGAUCAUAUUUAGAAUCAAGACCGCUUAAAAAAAAUGUACUCACAAUCUAAUCAUCACCGCAUGAAGUUGUACAAUCCCUUCAAUAGAUUCUUCUUAGAAUGUGCUGCGAUGAUCGAUUUCCUGAAAGAUUGCAACAAGUUCAUUAUAAUACAUGGAUAAAGGCCUAACAUUCUGAGUGGUUAAAAAUGACUUUUGAUUCAGUUCGAACAAUUAUGUUUCAUCAGAUCCAUUGUAGAAGGUCCUUGACACUGCCUCAUAUAUUUUCCUUGCUAUAACAAGACGAAUGAAUCUCUGCAUUAGGUGGGGCCUCAUUGAUUCGAUGAGCCAACUCUUUACUUUAUGAUUUUUGAUAAUCCAUGUAUCAUAGUUCAGAUCAUUAGGUGCAAGUUUCACCGCUAUCACAGUUAGAUACCCAACCUUGUUGCGGUCCCAAUAUGCAUCUCUAUUAACUGCGACCAUAACAUAUAGUUGGUUUCAUUGAGAAUAAUAUUGACAGGAGAGCCGGAGGUUUCUUGUUGAACGAUAAUUGGGUUUGACAAAGGAUUGCGUGGAGUGGCUGGAACAAUUGGAUCUCGCUCUUGUUCUGCCAUUGUGAUUUUGUUUGUAGGAGGAAGUCCCUGGAAUACAAAGGUCAAGGGAGAAUGCAGGGAAGAAUAGUAAAAAAAAAAAAAAAGUUUUUCAAGCCUGAGCUCUGAUAUCAUGUUGAUUACGACAUUCAACCGAAGCUUUUCAUUCUGUAAAUAUUUCUGCGCACUACAAUGUAUUCAUCUUUUCAGGAAAUAUAUAUAUAAAGGAAGUAAAACGUCCUAGUAUGCCUAAACUCCUAUUCAGGGUAAGACUAUCUGUACAAGGAAACAACUACAAUCUUGGAAUCCAUACGUCUCGACAGCUAAUACACAAUCUUGCCAGCUACCACUAUCAAAAUGGUAGACCCGUGAUAUUUGCUGGAGAGAAACAAUGAGGCCCUUCUUGGCUCUCUCCAAUCUAUGCCCUUCUUGGCUCUCUCCAAAAUGGCGCCGUUUGUUCAGCCGAACCAAAAGCUGAAGUUAAUUAUAAAUAAUAUUUUUUUUAUUUUUUAAAAUAUAAAUAUAAAUAUUCAACUUUUGCAGCUUAACCCCGUUAAAUACGCAACCUUAUCAUUAAAUUCAUUUAUUCAACCUUCUUACAUUUGCUGUCCAUGUGCUCUCCUGUUGAAGCGGAAUGAAAACCUAAAAGCUCCAAAAUUUAAGGGGUUGUGUUUGAAAAUAUAAUUAAAUCAUGUUUUUUAAAAGUUUUAAAAAUUAUUUUUUAUAUAUAUUUUCAGAUUGUUUUGAUAUUAAUAUCAAAAAUAAUUUUUUAAAAUAAAAAACACUUUAAACAUCAAAAUUUUAAACUCCCAUACAUGUCAAAAUGGUAGACCCAUAAUAUUUGCUGGAGAGAAACAAUGAGGACAUUCUUUGCUCUCCCCAAUCUAUGCCCGAAGGUCGAUGUGCAUGUGAUGUGUCUUCCCACCAUGUGAUGUGUCCUUAAUAAUUUGAUUAAUUGCUGUUAAUCUUUGAUGUCUUUAUUCACGAUUUUUCCACAAUAAGAUACUGUGUCGAUGGUCCUGCCAUGUUCUAAUUUAAUAGCAUAUAAAAAUAAAAAUCAAUACUUGUAAAACUUAAAUACCAACUAGAGUGUUUAUUUAAGUAUUAUAAGUUUUUAUAAAAAAAAAACAAAAUAUGGCUAAUUAAUAUAAAAACCAAAUAAAUAUUGAAUAUUAAAAUUAAAAAAAAAAAAAAAAAAUUGAGGUUGUUCAUUGUUUAUAUGAUGAUCAAGCACCAUAAUAUGCUUCAAUCCUAAAGAGAGUAAUAUAUAAUUCUUGAUUGGGUAUUUUUUUUUUUUUAAAAAAAAAAAAAACACUAAUAAUAACAUCUUUAACUGAAAGGACACAAUAUGCGUGUUGCGCGAGCUCUGGUUGUUAAAAGCCUGGCAGUGUCAUUAUUUGUGAGAAACCGUUUCAAAUCAUAGAAAUCAAAACAAGCAUUUAUGGCGUUAUCGUGCGAUAUCGAAAAGAUACGCGCGAGAGAUCUACAAAGCUCGAGCGGAAGACUUGAUGACUUUGUGGAUUCAUUUAUACAGAUCUGUAAACGGUAUUGUUAAGAGCCCUAGUCAUUGUAUACCCAACCUUUCAAUUUCAAUAGAAAGGAGGAAGUCAGUCAAUACGGGUGUCUGCAACCAUGGAUUCGAUCAAGCGUUUAGCCCCGAGCCCCUGUGUUUCCAAGUCCAAACACAGGAAACAAUAUUGGGUACGAAACAAAUCUAGUUAUAUUUCUAUGUUUUUCUUAUAAAGAUUAUUCUUAAUGCUUGUUUCUUGACUUCUUGUUGCUAUAUAUCAUGUCAUUAUCCCCAGAAAUUAAAAAUUAUUAUUUUUCUUAUACAUGUUAAGAAGAACAGAGAGAGGAGAGAAACUAUAAAACGAUUGGAAACAGAUAUGAUCGAGAUCGGUGAGGGACAACAACGCAUCAGAGAAGGGCAACGAGAAAUAAGACAAAAGUUUGAAGAGAUAGGAUCUGAAUGCCGCAGGCUCAAAGAGGAGACGAUGAACAUAGCCAAGCAGAGUGAUUACAACCAAGUCAGGAUAAACCUAAUGUUUAGCAUCUUGAAAGCCCGUGAAGACAACAACUUUGCCCAUGCUGAUCACCUUACUGGGCUCCUCCGGUUGGUUAAAUUCCCUUCGCCAUUUCUUUUCUUAAUUCUUGGGAUUUCGGAUUUCAUAAUUAAUCUUGCUAAUGCUAGCUAUUACAAGGAGAGAAACAUAAGUUAACGAACUCAAAAUAAAAGAAUCAAAAUGCACCCUUGAUAAUUAAUCUUCUCUCAAUAAUUGUGUUUCCUAUUCGUUGUGUUGGCAGCAAGGAAAUGGAAAAGCAGGAACAAGGAAAGGCAGGCCUGGUUGGCUGACUCAUGAUCAUGGAAAACGACGAGCAGUUUGCCUUUGCAGUGACUCCUGAUCGUCUUUUCUUAUUAAAAUGAAAUCAUCAGUCCUAAAUCUAGAUAUGUAUCGACAUUAGUCUUCCCUUGAUAUCCUUCUUCCUUUGAUGAAGUAUUCAUUUGAUUAAGGAUUUGCGUUCUCUUUCCGAAUUGAAUGUUUUGAGUUAUAGUACAUACCAUGUGAAUUGCCGGGCGAUGCCACCGAUUGUUAUAUAAACGGUAUAAGCAUUCGGUUGAGUAUAAUCUGAGGUAAUCGAAGAAGAACAUAGGCCGACAUAAUUAAACAAAAUGAGAAAAAAAAUAAAAAUUACUAGAAGUAUUGAGGUUAAGCAAUGCAAUCACAAGCUUUAUGUUAGAGAAACGUAAAGUCUUAACUAGCCUGUUUAGCUUUGCAGUAUUCAGUUGUUUUUAUUUAUUUUGAUUUUGUUUUUUAAGAAUUAUUUUUCAUAUUAAUUUUAAAAUAAAUAAAUAAAUAAAUCAUUUUUUUUUACCAAAAAAGGGUGUGGCUUCAAUAACAAAUAGUGAAAAAGUCUCAAAUACAAAGCAACAAGUACAUAAUAAAUUACCUGAUUGUUAAUCAAGGUAUACAUAAAUUCACUCGAAUAUUUAUAAUUAUUAAAAUAAUAAUAAUAAAGAAAGAAAGAGCUCCAGACUUUUUGACCGUGCAUUCUCAUUUCACUUUGAAUUCCAGUGAGAUUGAUAAUUUCUUUUGGAAAAAAAAACUUGUUUAACUUUGUCUCAGGUGUAGAAAGGUGUUUUCAAUGGGAUUUAUUAGUAAUUAUUAUUUUUAAUAGGGACAACUUAGUUUGUUUGCGUUUUAAAUAAAGUGUAAUGAUUUAAACACUUUUAAAAGUAAGAAAAAUUAAAACUAGUAGGAAUAGUUUUAUGGUUUUAUAGUAAAAGAAUGAUAUUGCCCUUAAAAGAAAAUGAUAAAACUUGUAUUCAGAGUCAUUUAGAUCUUUUCAAUACAGUUAUUUUGUAAUUAUAUAUUUGAAUUAAAAACAAUUAAAUCUUUAAUUAUAUUUAUAUAAAUAAUUAAUAUAUGUCACAUACAUUUUAGCAAGUGAAAGGCGUUCAUGCUCUUAAGAUGAUGUUUGCCUCCCCUAACAAUGGUUAAAAGUUGUGUAAACAAUGAUGUUUGAAACGAUGGGUCAUUCUCUUUGCGAUGGUGGGAUGCUUGUUUACGAAUGAAGUGUGGUUGAGCUCCUUAUAAACAUUUUUCUUUUCCUGUUUUUUCUUCCUCUUUUAGUCUAGAAAUUGAUGCCAACUCUUUUAAAAAUUUAUUGUGUUCUCUAGUUUGUAUUUUUAUUAAUUUUGAUUAUCAUUUGUUUUUGCUUUUAAUGCAUUUUGAUCUUUAAUUGAUUUGCAAUUUCAUCCAUAAGAAUUUUGUUUCAUUUAAUUUUUAUAUGAAAUUUGAUCUUUAUUAUUUUAUUUCUAUUUUUUUUGUUUUUAUACUUAUCUAGAUUUUUUUUUUCAAUUUUACCUCUCAUUAUUUUAUUUUAUUUAAUUUUUGCAUUCAAUUUUAAUCUUUAUUUUUUUAUUGUUAUUUUUUUUAUUUUCUUAAUUUUUUUCAUUUAGCUUUUAUGCUAGAUUUAGUCAUUGUUGUUUCGAUUACUAUUUAUUUUGGUUUUUAAUUUUGGAUGAUUAAGGAUUAUGCUUAGUGAUUUUUUAUUGUUUGCUUUUAAUGAGAUAAUCUCGAUCUUAUGAACCGGGUCACUAUUUCAAGGAUUAAUCCGAUUUAACUUUGAUUUUUUAUUCCUUUUUUUUAAAACAAAAUAAUUACUUUUUAAUUUCAUCAUUUGGUUUUAGGUUAUUAGGUCUAAAUUCCCCCCAUUUAUGUGGUGUUAUUUCGGUGUUAUAUCUUAGGUUGAGUUUUUUUCGAGAUAACUCUGGUUUUUUUUUUUUUAAUUUAGUUUUUCUAAUUUAAUUUUUUAAUAUUAAAUUAUUGAACCUUACAAAUUGUAUUUUGUUCAUUAUUUUUUUUUUUUAUAAGUUUAACAUGAUCUCGAGGUCAUUGUCUUUUUUUUAAAUUAAUUUUUUUAAUCUGGAACUCCCAUCACGGGUCGCAUGGUAGUCCAACUAAUCUGAGUUAAGUUAAAGUUUUUUCAAUUUUUUUUUAUUUUUUUUUACCAGUCGCACGCACUGUGUAGCGUAAAACUAAAAGUUGUAUCAGAAGAAAUGUGCAGGACAUGUGUAGGUCGGCUAAUGCUGGCCAUAAAUAGCCAUGUCUGUGAAGCUAUGCAGGUGUGCUAGUGGAGACAGAAACACUUAUGCAGAAAAGUGUGACGUAUGUUCCGGUAGUUCCAAAAAGAAUCAGAUAAAUAGUUGAGAAAUUUAAUAUUUUAAAGUUGUUUUAUGGGAAACAUGAUAUUUCAAAAAUAUAUUUGUUAAAUGACUUCACAAUUUACGAUGACGAGAGAAAAAUAAAAUAAAUACUUUAAUUAUACAUCAAAUCUAUCAUAAAAAAAACUCGACCAUGUGAAUCUAAUAAAAUUAAAGAAGUUCACCAAGUAGAUCACACUCAUUGAAGCUCUAAUUAUAAUAUCACUAGCAGCAUUAUAAAGUUCUGGACAAAAUAAAUCAAAUAUAAACAAUAAAGAUAAUCAAGGAUAAUGAUAAUUGAAGUGGGUCAUAUAUAAUAGGCGGAAAACAUGGUGAAAUCUAGGGUUAAGAUUAAAAAAGAUGAUGGAAGGGAAGAUGAAGGUGAAGAUGAAGAACAACAAUCAGAUUAGCGAGAAGAACAGGCAUCAAAAUUCUGGAUGGAGAAGUUCCAGUUUUCCAGACUGCAACAGUAGAAAUGAUAAGACCACCUGCUAAGAAGGCCAGUAAUCUGUCGUGAAUGAAGAAAUUCAUGGAUGGUAGCAGCGAGAUUUAGCAUGAAGCAUUUAACUUGUUUUCUCUAUUGUAAUUCAUGUCGCUAGAGGUAAUAGAAUUGCACUUGUCUUGCCAGCAUUUAUAGAGAUAUGAAUCUGUUGAAAGGGAAAUUAAAUCGUAGAGUCAACCUUGUUGCGGAUUCCAAAGGGAAACCAUGAUGGUUUAACAGUUAAGCUUUGGUCAUCAAUGCAAUUGGUUCAGGUUGGGGUUUGGAAGAGGUUCGGUGAACUGCGGCGGCCGGAGCCUAAUCUGAUUAGGAGUGGGUACCCUAGGUUGGUUCGGUGGAACAAAUUGAAACUGGAAGUUGAGAAUGUUUCGUUGGUUCUAGACUCGGAUAAAGAGAGUUUUAGCUCUGGAAAACUGGGAUUUCCUCAAGUUUUAUGGAGAAAAAGAAAUGUGGGCCGGCGACUGUUGGUUCUAGUUUGAACGACGAUUUAAUGGCAUUUGCUCGACGCGUCAGGAUUUCAAUGCUGUGUGGAGUUGGCUGUUCAGAACAGUAUUUACCUCAUAGGGUUGCAAUGCAAUUCGGAACCGACGAAGAUCUUUCAGGGUUGUGUUGGUCAAUGCUCUAAUUAACAGACCUGAGAUUGCAGAGAGCUUAAAGCUUUUGUUGAAGAGCUUGAGCAGAUGAUCACACGAAUAAAAACAGCAAGAUUAAGACAAAAUUGUUAACCUAGCUAGCCUUCUUCGUGAGAACGAUUUGCUUGAUUUUAUUUUAUUUGAAUUCAUGGCUUCUCUUCUCUGUUGGCUAUGCUACUAACAUGGCAGUAGCAUUGCAGCAGGUUCCUAAUAUGGAUAACUCCCGCCAUUGACAACAGAUGCAGAACAAGGUUAAAAGGAUAAAAGAAAUAAAUAUAUUCAUAUGUAACCAUGCACUAUGGCAUGAAGUUAUUAUCACAGUGUGCAGACAAAUGCCGUGUGCUGCUGGACCCAACGAGAGUCUACUAGGCGUUAUCUGUUCUGCCCACCCAAUCCUGACUAGAUAAGCACUUGAGAGUUUUUUUUUAUUUUAUCCAGUUGAUUUGAAGUGUUGUUUUGAUAUAAAUUUUGUAAAGAAGAGAUAUUUUUGUUAAGACCAAUUUGAUAUUUGUAUUUUUGUUUAAUAAUUUUAUCUUUUAAAAAUAUCUUUUAUUUGUUUAUAUAAAAGUUUAAAUAAAAGCAAUAGAAACUAGUAGAAUUCAACAUUAAUUAAAUAUUAUGAUGAUGUUUGAUUCAUGUUGUGAUAACUUUAUAAAUAUUAAAUUCAAAUAAAUUAUGAUGACUAAUUUAAAAUUAAUUAAUUAUUAAAAGAGUUUUUUUAAUAUUAAAAUGAUGAUAUAUUAAAUCAACCUAAACUUUACAGUUUAAUUUGUAAAACCUUGACUUGAAUCAUGAACUCCACUUGACAAAUUAAAAAAAAAAACAUUAAGGUUGUUACGACGAUAAAGCACAAACAACAAUAAUAAUUCAAGAUUUUGACUAAAAGUAGAAUCCAUUAUACAUGUGUGUUGAUUAUUGAGUUAUAACCCGUCCGUAUAUGAAAAGGAAUGAAUUUAGCAAAGUUAUUAAACUCGGUCGACCUAAUGGUUGGACUGGUCUGGGUUUGUUAAAAGACCAGUCAAUGCAAUGACCCGACAAAACCUGGUCGACCCAUGACCCGGAUGAGACCCAAUAUUUUUUUUUUCAAACGUGGUUUUUUUUUAUAACCUUCUUUUUUAUAUUUUUUUUAGUUGGUUAUUAACACUUUUUAAAGUUCACUAUAUAAAUACUAAAAAUAUAUUUUAUUUUUUCAAUGUAGAAUUUGAAACCCUUUAGUAUAUACUCUAUGUUCCCAAGAAAUUUUUUUUUUUUUCAAUGUGGGAUUUCAAGCCCUUUCAUAUAUAUACUUUAUGUUCAUAAGAAAAAAGUUAUGUUUUUUCAAAGUGAGAUUUGAAACCAUAUAGCAUAUAUACUCUGUUUCCAAGAAAAAACGUUGUUUUUUUAAAUAUGUAAUUUGAAGUUCCUUCGUAUAUAUACUCCAUGUUCAUAAGAAAAAUGUUAUGUUUUUUCAAUGUGAGAUAACAAACGUUUUGGUUUAAAUACUUCAACUUAAAAGUAUGACAUAAUAUAUUUUUAAUGUGAGAUUUAAAGCCCUUUAAUAUAUAUAUAUAUAUAAUAUAUAUAUAUAUAUAUAUAUAUAUAUAUAUAUACACCUAUAUUCCUAAAAAAAAAAAUUAUUUUUUCAAUGUAGGAUUUAAAGUCCUUUUGUAUAUAUAUUUUAUUUUCACAAGAAAAAUGUUAUGUAUUUUUCAAUGUAAGAUUUUAAAUUUUUUAUUAUACUUUAUCUUUAUAAAUUUUUUUUUUAAAUUAAUCCAAUUAACCUGUCUACCUUUAGAGCUGAUUUAAUAAUUUUGGGAUGGAAGGAAUAUUUAAAAUAGUCUUAGAACAAGUCACAUUUGUUUGCUACCCGAUUUGAAAAGAGAAAGUUGCUCUCCCGUAAUGUCUACUUUUAAAAUCAAAAGAAUCCAACAGAAAACGGCAACCAUGACCAUGCCAAAAGGGCUUAAACAAAAGCUCUACAAGAUCAAUCCACGAAAGUUAAACUCCAUUGAAUCAAGAUUUGAAUGUGCUGGGCAAUGAAAAGCCCACGAUUAUAUAAAAUAAAAAAAUAAAAUUCAAAGAGAGUACUGGAAUGCUUGACUAUAACUGUAAAACCAAGCCUAGUCCAAUAAAUCUAUGUAAAAAUCCGAUAAUUCAGAACCUAGAUUAAUUGCUAUCAUGAUUUAUGACCUAACCAAUUUAGUUACAUUAAUGUUGACCAUGAUUUAGUCUAGAUUUAUCCUAGUCAAAAGAGAAAAGAAAUUCCAUAAAAUCUUAACAUGAUAAUCGGGGUCAUUUUCUUCGAGCAAGCAACGAAUCUCCAUAAAAUCUUAAACAUAAUUAGUGCAUAGAUUACCAAAUAUAUAUAUAUAUAUAUAUAUAUAUAUAUAUAUAUAUUGUACCAGAUGAAACAAAACAAUUCUCAGUACGUGGCGUUGUUAUACCUGAGAAUGAUCUAAAAAAUCAGGUCAUAGAUUUCUAGCCUAUACACUGAUUUUAUUAAAAGAAUGAAGAAAGAAAUGGAAGUAAAUAUAAACAAAUUUCUAAUACGAACGAAUAAGGCAAGACCAACAAUGUCAGGAUCCUUGAUCAAACACAGAGCAUUCUUAAUAAAGUAUAACAAGAAUUUAAAUGAUGAAAAUAAAGUCUUACUUAAAUUUGUAAUGCAAAUCAAUACACGAGAUAUUGAUUAUAGAGGAGAGUGGAUAUGGGUUAAAGGUACGAGUUACAAGGGAGAAUAAAAUUUUCUCAGGGAAAAUGAUUGUCUGCCUUCUGAGGAUUUAGAAGUCCCCUUUUAUAAAUGAGUUGACACGGAAGAGGCCAAAAUGUCUUGUUGGGAAAGCUUGGAGAUUUCGUUAGAACCCAUGUGAACCCAUGUUGUAUUGCUUUCCAUGAUUGGGUGACGACAAAAUGAAAAAUGCCUAUGUUUUUUGUGGGACUUUCAUUUGUUGUCUUCUUGCCACCGACACUGGAUUUGUUUGUUUGUAAUAGCAGGUGAUAUUUGUAAUAAAAAACCUAAAACUAAUGGGCUUAAAAUUAAAAAGGACUCAAAACAGUUGAGUCGAAAAUAUAUGGGCUCUAAACAGAUGAGCCUGAGAAAGCCUAAAAUACUCUUUUUUUUAUUUUAUUUUAAUGUCGCUUGAUAGGCGGUAGGAUACCAAAACAGUCAUCUUCAUUAUCGUCUCCAAGGGAAAUGGUAAGAGAUAUCGAUCCAGAUGAGCUGGAUUGGGACAAGACCGUUUUCGGGUCUUGGCUUUGUAUAAUGCUUUGGACUAUUUGUAGGUAUUCUUCUUUAGUUUUAGUAGGCAAUGAAAGUUGUCGUUUGAGACUUUCGGGCUAGAAACUUUGAUUGAGGAUGAUGAUCAAUGAUGAGAGCUAUUUGAUGUUUUUGUAACCAUUCCGUAACAACUAAUUUGGAACUUUUGGAUUCAGCUGCAAAAGAAUCCUACCAUUUGAUUUUGAACUUGCGAACAAGUACUAGAUGUCCGAUUUGUAGAUUAUAAUCAUAAAACCAUGAAUAUACCCAUGGCAUAAAAACUUUUAUACAGAAAAUGAGAAGGGAAGAGAACUUCCUUUCAUAAGGAGCUAGUUAAAAUUUAUUUUUGAAAUGGAGGUAACUAUUUUCAACUAGAGGAUGGUCUUUGAGGUAGUCAACAUGACAACCAUAGUAGUCCCACCAUUUGAGGAACCAGAGUGGGAGGUUUGUAGUAUUCAUGUCAUUAUGGAAGUAGAAAAACCAAGAAUGACUAUGGUUUGGAUUUUGUAGUAGGAAGGCAUUGAACUAUGCCUGUUGGUAAUCCUAGUACGUAUAGGAAGUAUUGAAGUCCUAGGGGUUUGUACGGAAGUGUAUGAGGAAGGAGAGAUGUUGAUGUAAGGGUUGUCCCCAAUCUUUAGGGUGAAUGACUUUGUGAAUGAUACAUGUAGAAUAUGGCGGUUCAGUGUGAUCAGAAUGAAGUUUGAAGUGUUUGAACUUGACAAAAUUGGUAAUUUCAAGGAUUGCGGCAUAAUAGGUGGUUUGGCUAAAUUCCAGGGUUUGUAGUACCAAUUUGAAUGGAAAAUUUUGGAAGCAACAAUGGAAGGGUUUUCAUGUUAAAAUCCUUCUUCCAUAGUUAAAAUAUUUUGGAAAGUAGUUUUGAAAAUAUAUUUGGAUUUGGUGUUUGGAAAACUGGUUUAUUGUAAAGAAAAGAGGGGUUUUGAAGCAGAAAUGCCUCCUUGAGGUUUUGAAAAUGAUUUGGAAAUAGAUACGGAGUCGCUGGAGGCCUAUUGAGACACUUUUUAUAAUGUUAGGAGUAAUUCUGGUGAUUUGGAUAUAGUGUCAACCCAAUGUUGAACUGCGUAUGUUUGUACAUAUGGUGGUUUUAUAGUUUCUUCUUCUUCAAUAACUGCCUCAUACCAGGAUUUGAUGGGUUUGACAGCUAAGAUAGCUGAAGACAUGAGUUUUGAAAAAGGCUUGGGGCUCUCUGAUUUUGUAGGCUGGGUUUGAGGGGCUUUCCCCUUGUUUUUGGCCUUUGCUUUAGGAGGCAUCAAUACCUAUUUUGAAGGAAUUCUCAGGUUAGGAAAUCAGAAUGGAAUUUGAAUCUCCUUUAAUGUAGACAAUAUCGAAAUAAAAAAUGCUUAAAAUAGCUUGCCAUCUGGCAAAAAUCUGUUUUAAAGCAAGAUUUUGGACAUCUUUUUGUAGAAUUUUUUUUUUGCAGAUUUGCAAUUAACACGUAAAAGAAAUUUUUGAUUUAAUAAAUCACUUUGAAAUUUUGUAAUACAGAAAACAAUUGAAAGGAUCUUUUUUUAUAGUAGAGUAAUUUUUCUGGCAAUCAUUCUAGUGGGCGGAUGUGUAUUGGAGGAUUUGUUCUUUAAGAAUCCCACCAUAUCCUAGGUCAGAGACAUCGGUCUCGACAAUCUUAGGAGCUAACGGGUUAGCUAAAUGGAGGAGAGAAAUAGUUUGGACCUCUUACUUAAUCUGUUUGACUAGGUCGGUAUGGAUGUCGGACCAAGAAAUGAGGUUUGUUUUUAACGUGUCAUGUAAAGGUUUGGCUAGACCGCUAAUAUUGGGAUAGUAGUCUAGAACAUAAUUAAGACUGCCUAAAAACCUUUGCAAUUGGGUUUUAUCGGUGAUCUUAUUAGGAAAUUUAUUUGUAAAGGUUAGAGACUUUUUUAUUGGUGUUACAGUGCCUUGGCAAAUAUAAUGCCCUAGAAAACGGACACGAUUUGGAAGAGAGAAAAUUUUGUUUUAGAAACAAUUAAACCAUUUUUUUUUGUAGUAUGAAAGGAAGUAUGUAGAUGUUUGAAAUGUUGAUCUAUGGAAUGUGAAAAAAUAAUCACAUCGUCAAUGUAAACAAUGCAGAACUUUGAAUGUGCAUUGAAGAUGUCAUCCAUGAUGCGUUGAAAUUCAGAUGGUGCAUUUUUUAGGCCAAAGGGCAUAACAAUCCAUUUGUAUUGGCCUAAAGGAACUAUAAAAGCAGUUUUGUAUCUAUCUUUGGGAUCAAUCUGUAUUUGCCAAAAUCCGGAUUUCAUAUCGAACUUAGAAAAUAUGAAUGCAGAGUGCAAUUUUUGUAACAUAUCUUUUUUGUUGGGGAUUAGAUAUCUGAUCCAUUUGAGAGCAGAAUUUAAAGGUUUGUAAUUGAUCACAAGUCUUGGUAUGCCUCUUUCGAUUUCAGAGUUUUUAUUCACAUAAAAGGCUGCACACAACCAGGGUGAUCGAGACUUUUGGAUAAGACCUUUAGACUCGCAAUCGCGGAUUUCAAGUAUGCAAUGCUGUUCUAAAUCAACAUUUAUUUGGAUAGGUCUUGCUUUUGUAGUUAUAAGAUUUUUUGAAAAAGUAUCUUCAUAUGAAAGAUCAACGAUGUGUUGUUUUCUUUUCUAGAAAGCAUUAGGUAAGUCUGAACAGAUUUGUUGUUCAAUCUUAUUUUGUAAAUCAAUGAUUUUCUUUUGUAAAUCAGAGUUUUGUAAUUGUUUGUUUAUACGACCAAAAAAAAAAAGGUUUUGUAAAUCAUGUAAAUGGAAUUGUUUUCCAUGAAUCAGUGCAUUGAUAUGAUAAGUAUGUAUGGAGCAUGCUUUAAUCAAAUUUAAAUUUCUAGUCUUAGAUUUCUCUAAGAAUGGGAGAACAAGUUUGAUGCUAUUGAUUUUGGAAGUAAUACAAUUAUGAUGUGCUUGAUAUGGAGUGAUCAUGUCGAUGAAUGGAGUGCCAAGAAUGAUAGUAUGAUUAAUAUCUUUUGUAACAACAAAGAAUGUUUUAAGAGAAAUACCUUUGUUGAAAACAGAGGUUGAGUUUUGCCUGCAAUAUGUAACUUUGAAUUAUUAGCAGCAAAGAGUUUUUCAGAGGUAUUUUGUAAAAAUUAUUUUGGAGCCACACCUUCUUUGAUGCAGUUCAAAUAUGCACUUGUGUCAAAUAAGACAAUAGUGUCAAGUUUGAAAUCUCUUGAGAAAAUGAGAGUAAUUCUAGUUAAAUAUUUUUUUGAAGAUAUUUGUGUUAAUACGUUAAGGAAAUCAUUUAGAACAUGCUCAAUAUUUGUAAGUGUAUGUGGCAAUGCAUGAGAUUCAAUGGUUUGAUCUUCUAUAUCAGACUCAGUAUCAAACUAGCUUUCAAUUAUGGAUAGGAGAUGUUGUAGUAUGGCAGAGUCUUUUUGUUGGGCUUGGUUGAGGGUUUGUAAUUCGGAUUUGAGGGUUUUGAUCCUAGAAUGUAAUUCUGAAAUGGUGACUGUGGUUUUGAAUUUCUUUUUGUUAAGGAUCUUUGUAAGGUCAUAGGUACUGGUACUAGUAGAGGGUAGUAUAGAGCGAUUUAGAGGGUUAGAUGAAAGGUAAUCUGGUUGGUUGAAAUCUUUCAAUAACUUAUCUAAGUAGGUUUUUUGAAGUUGAGGAUCAUCAAGUCUUUUGAUAACCUCAAGAAUGAAUUUCUAGUCUUGGGUUAAGACGUUAAUUUGUUUGGAAUUUGUAGAGGCAUAUGAAGUAGCACUAGUAGUUGCUAUUUUAUCGAUUUGAAAUUCUUCUUCAGAAGUGUCUGAAGGAGAGUGGUCAAUGUCUGUGACUUCAAUGUAAAGAUUUUAUAUUUGGUUGAUGGUAUCUUCAUUUAUUUUGAGCUUACAAAGUUUGGUAUUGACCUUGCAGAAACGAGAUAUAUGUCCUUUCUGGUUACAUUUGUAACAAAUAAUGUUUUUAAAAUUAAAUGUUGGUUUGGAUUUUGACUGAAAAUGUCCGUGGGGCUUGGUAAAUUUAUAGAGCUUUUUGUAGUAAGGUUGAUUUAAUUUGGAACAAAACUGUUUUCAUAGUCGACAAGCUCCUCUCUUUAUCCAUUCAGUCCUGAAAAGUAACUAAGACAAUUUCAGUUAUAUUUUCAUGUUCCAAUUAAACACUUUUUAUUUUUUUAUUCUCAAAGAAAAAUAUAUUUUUUUAUUAAAUAUAUAAAGAUCCAAUCAUGAUUUUAUAAUAAGAAUAAGAGAUAUUUUAGUUGGAAAUGAAUCUAAAUGUUAGCUAGAUAAAUGUUUUGUAUGAAUCCUGUAGACCAUUCUUACGAGGAUCGUGAGAGGAGGGCUACAAUUCGUAGAAAAGAAACUGCAAUUCCUUGAGGUCAUCCUGCACUUGUAGAAAAAAUGUAGAAAAUAGAAUUUGAAACAGAAAGUUGAGAAUGUUUCCGUUGGUUCUAGACUCGGGAAAGAGAGAGUUUUAGCUCUGGAGAACUGGGAUUUCGUCAAGUUUUAUGGACCUGUUUUUGGUCAAUGCUCUAAUUAACAGACCUGAGAUUGCAUAGAGCUUAAAGCUUUUCUUGAGCAGAUGAUCACACGAAUAAAAACAGCAAGAUUAGGACUAAAAUUGUUAACCUAGCCUUCUCGUGAGAAUGAUUUGGUUGAUUUUGUUUGCUUUGCUAGUUAUGUUAACAACUCAAGCUUGGCUUUGACAUAUGAAGCAGAUGAAAGUGUUUGGGCUUUAAGCUUUUCAUGACCACCCGGCCGGAGAUUGAAUUCCUGGCUUCUCUUCUUCUGUUGGCUCUGCUACUAACAUGGUAGUAGAGCUUUCGACUGUCAGGCAUGGCGUCAGUAUCGUCAGUAUCGUCACUACUAACAUGGUAGUAGAGCUUCCUUGAAGUUGAAUAUGACUCCUCGGAAGCUCUUCGAUGCCAGUCUUCACAUCGUAAUGUAUUCGCUUCUAACUUAUUUGGGGUCUUUUCAGAAUGGAUCUUGAGAAUGUUCCUCCUCCUGUUCUUCGGUAUCUUUUGGACGCUGAUAGAAUAGGUAUUGCAGCAGGUUCCUUCAUAGAUCAUAACUCCCACCAUUCACAACAGAUGCAGAAGAAGGUUAAAAGGAGAAAAGAAAUAAGUAUGGUAACCAUUGCAGCAGCAUGGCAUGAAGAGGUGUGCUGGACCCAACGCACAGUCUACUAGGCGUUAUCUUUUCUGACAAGCCAAGCAGUCGAGAUUUUAUUCGAUUUUAUCCUGUUGAUUUGAAGUGUGCGAUUUGAUCGAGAAAAAAACUGAAAAGUAUAUUAAAAAUAAAUAAUAAUUAAAAAAAUCGAAUGGGAUAGGGAUAAGGAAUCGCGGCGAUAAACAAACAGAGGAGGCAAGAUAAUAGAUAUGUAAAACCUUCCCCUUCCACCAACAGGGCAUUCCAACAGCCUUCUCGUGCAAACAGUCGAAAAUGCUAGAAAAGAGAAAGAAUAAAAGUGGAUUCAACCUCAGCCAAACUCGUACCUGAAGAUAGAAGAAAGUGAAUUAUUCACGAGUAUACAUAAUAGUAUUUGCUUCCGUAAUCUUGCCACCAAUGUAUGGAAUCGAUUAAAUUAAUUAAAAUUUUUUAAAAAAUAAACCGAUUUGGUUCGGUGGAACAAAUUGAAACAUGAAGUUGAAAAUGUUUCAUUGAAUAUGACUCCUUGGAAGCUCUUCGAUGCCAGUCUUCACAUCUUCAUAUUCAGGCUCUUCUUGGCUCGAGGAGACCAUGCAAAUUCCUUCAUUAAUUAAUUACGGUGAAGGUAAUCAAUGUAUUCGCUUCUAACUUGUUUCGGGUCUUUUCAGAACAAUUCAAUGGAUCUUCAGAACGUUCCUCCAAUUCUUCGGUAUCUUUUGCAGCAGGUUCCCUCAUGGAUCAUAACUCCCACCAUUCUCAACAGAUGCAGAAGAAGGUUAAAAGGAUAAAAGAAAUAAAGGUUAAAAGGAUAGUAACCAUUGCAGCAGCAUGGCAUGAAAAAGCUUAUCACAGUGUGCAGACAAAUGCCGUGUGCUGGACCCAACACACGGUCUGCUAGGCGUUAUCUGUUCUGCCCACCAAUUCUUACAAGAUCAGCACUUGAGGUUUAUUUGCUUUAUCUUUAUCUUUAUCUUUAUCUAUCUUUAUCAGUUUAACAAUUUUAUUUUUUUAAUUAUAUAAUAAUAUUAUAAAAUUAAACUAAAUAUUAUGAGAUGUUUGAUUGAAACUAAACAACUUUAUAAAAUAAUUCUUGAAUGGAUAAUCUGAAAACACCAAAAAUAAUUCAAGAUUUUUACUGAAACUAGGGCCCGUUAUGGAUGUUGUUGGUUAUUAGGCUAGAUAUGUUAUGUCCAUAACAAAUGAAUCUGAUCUAAAUAUUUAAAAGAAUUAUUAAAAAAAAUAAACAGUGUAUAUAUAUAUAUAUAUAUAUAUAGAUAUAGAGGCCCAUAGAAGAUCAGCCUGAUUAGGUUUCUAGCGUUAUCGUGCGUUAGUUAAAAAUAAAUCUGAUCAAAUACACAAUUUUGUCAACUAACACUCCUCCUUAAGUUAGUGCAUAAAUAUCUAUUAUGCCUAACUUGUCAAUCAUACUCUAAAAAUUCUUAUUUAAUAUUGUGUUAGUGAGGAUAUCAGCUAUAUGACUUGCAGAUUUAACAAACAAAAAACAUAUAAUUUUUUUAUUAUCUAAAUUCUCUUUGAUGAAAUGACGAUCUACUUCAACAUGUUUAGUUCGAUCAUGUUGAACAUGAUUAUGUGUAAUCUGCUUAUUAUCACAUUACAAAUUGAUAGGAUCUGUAUACUUGAUCUCCAAAUCCUUGAAAACACUCUUGAUCCAUAACAACACAUAUUCCCUAAACCAUUUCUUGAAAUUCUACUUCUACACUAGAUCAUGCUACAACUUUCUAUUUUUUACUUCUCUAAGUAAUCAAAUUCCCUUCCACAAAGGUCAGAUAACCAAACAUAUACCUUCUUAGUGUUUGAUCUCCUGCCCAAUCUGUAUCAGUAUAGCCUUUAAUAUUUGAGACACAAUUCUUUGAGUACUAUAAACCUUUGUCAGGCGCACCUUCAAGAUAUCUCAAGAUUAUGUAAACUGCAUCCAUAUGCAUAAAUUGGCUCACAAUACAUAUAAUAUAAAUUAUAUCAAAACUAUUGUGGGUUAGGUAAAUUAACUUACCCACAAGUUUUUGAUACCGACCCAUAUCUAUAGGGACUUGAUCUGGAAAGAUCCCAAGUUGACGAUUCAUUUGUAUUGGUGUUUCAAUAGGUUUGCAAGCUAGCAUCUCAAUCUCACUUAGAAGAUUUAAUACGUAUUUAUAUUGUGAAUGGGAAAUUCCUUGUUUGGACCUUACUACUUCAAUGCCAAGAAAAUACCUUAGUUGUCCCAAAUCUUUCAUUUUGAAUUCUACAAACAAGUACUCUCGUAGUGUCCUCAUUUCUUUAGGAUCAUUACCUAUCAAAAUCAUGUCAUCUGCAUACAUAAUGAAUGUCGUUACCCUUCCAUCUUUAUGUUUUACAAAUAAUGUAUGAUCUAUAUUGCUCUAUUCAUAACCAGCUGCUUUCAUUGCCAAAGUAAACCUCCCAAACCAAGCACGAGGAGAUUGCUUUAAACCAUACAGAGAUCUCUUUAGUUUGCACACUCUGCCUUCGUGUUUGGAACUUUGUUUUAUUCCAGGCAUAAGUUCUAUUUACACCUCUUCUUCUAGAUCACCGUUCAAGAAAGCAUUUUUUACGUUGAAUUGUUGUAGGGGCUAAUCUCAAUUUGCAGCAAUGGAUAUGAGAAUAUAGAUGGUGGUGAUCUUGGUUACUGGUACAAAGGUCUCUUGGUAGUCGAUACCAUAUUUAUGGGCAUACUCUUUGGCCACGAGUCUCGCUUUAUAUCUAUCUAUGCUUCCAUCCGCUUUAAGUUUAACAAUGUAUACCCAUCAACACACAAUCACCUUUUUUUUCUGUUGAUAACACAACAAGUUCCCAAGUGGAGUUCUUUUGUAAGGCUUCCAUCUCUUCAUUCAUGGCCUUUUUUCACCUUGAAUCUGCCAAUACAUCCUACACAUUAUUAGGAAUAUAUACUUUGGAUAAUUGAUUAAUGAUUAGUGCAUAAGAUUCCAAAAGUCCAUGAAAAGAGACAUAGUUAUUGAUAGGAUAUUUAACAUUGGUUUUACUAUACAGCUCGUAUUGUUUCUUUGUAACACCUUUAUUAGGUCUUUGUGAAUACCUAGGAGUGGGUUGAGAUGUAUCCUUAGUGGUGGGAUUAUCUAGGAUAUUUUGGGCAGAAAAAUCUAUGGUUGAUGGUGCGAGUAAGUCACUCAUCACAGUUUCUUCCUUAUUAAGGUUUGUAGCUUCUGUGUCACCAGCACACAAUUCGGUCAUCUCAACUUCUUCCCCAUCAUGGUUUACAACAUCUAUGUCACCAACAUAAUCCCCACAAAGAUCACUGUCCAAUGAUAAAUUCCUCUUGUUUGGAAUAGUUUAAGUAUUAGUGAACGAAGUAGCAUUAUACUCGUUAUUAUUCAUCCUUUUUUUCAAAUGCCACUAGCUACAUAAAAACACCAUCAUCCUCACUUUUAUCAAAAACAAUAUUGCAAAGCUCACCUUUUUCAUACACAUUCCCCCCUGAAGAGGAGAGCCUAAGUCGCUUGUUAAAUAAUAAGGAUUCAUUUCACGAAAGGAGACAUCAAGAGAUAUAUGUAGCUUAUGAGUUUGAGGGCAGUAACAUCUGUAUCCUUUCUGAAAAUUAGAGUAACUAACAAAUACACAAUAUUGUACAACCAAAGGUUUUAGGUUCGAAGUUUGGUUGAUGGGGUGUGUAAAAGAAGGUUUGUAAUUUUUAGUAUGGGGUCUGGAAAUCAAUCACCCAGGAAGGCACUAUAUUGAUAAUGUAGACAGUAGACUUAAUAGCCUCUCCAUAAUAGAAGGGAGGCAUAUUCAUUCCAAAAAAAGAUGCACGUACCACCUCCAUGAUCUGCCUAUUUUUCCUCUUCGCAAAUCCAUUUUAUUGAGGUGUGCAGGUGCAAGAAGUAUGAUGUCUAAUUCCCUGUUUUCGAAGAUAAUCACCAAGCAAGUUCUCAAGAAAUUCCAUGGAAUUGUCAUAUUGCCAUACCUAAAUCUAUUUGUGAAAUUGAGUUUUCACCAUGUUGUAAAAUUCCUAAAAAGUAGUACUUGCAUCACUUAUCUUAUGUAAUAAGGAUACUCACGUCAUACGAGUGCAUUCAUCAAUAAAGGUAAUAAAAUAACGAGUUUUAGCCAUAAAUGGGAUGACUAUAAAUCCCCAAGUAUCAAAGUGAAUAACCAUAAGGGUUCAGAGCUUUUGUUGAAAGAGGGAAAAUAUGGUUUACUAUGGCUCUUUACCAAUUCACAAAUGUCACACUGAAAAUCCAAAAUAUGCAAUUCUGUAAACAAAUUAGGUUUUAAUUUCUUAAGGUAACUAAAGGAAAGAUGCCCUAGUCUCUUAUGCUAGAGCCACACCUUAAACAGCUUCCUAUCACCCAUCAUCACAAAACAUGCCUUAAUGUACUGCCAUAUGCUAGUUGUUGUCAAUUUCAAGUAGUAGACACCACAACCAAGAGUCUUUCGGGUCAAAAUAUCUAGAAAAACACAAUAAAAAGGCAAAAAAGUUAUAGUGCAAUUUAGUACUAAAGUGAUUUGGCUUACAGAUAACAAAUUCCAUUCAAGACUAGGAACAACCAAUACUAUAUCAAAAGUUAUGGCAGUAGUUAGAGCAAUGGAGCCCUUUCUUGUAAUAGGGGAGAUAUCAUCAUUGAUUGUAGAUAUGACUUGUUAGGAUGAUGAGCGAAGAUUUUGUAAUUUACUAGAGUCUCUAAUCAUAUAAUCGGAUGUACUAGUAUCAAUAAUCCAACUAUUAUCCAUAGUAAUAGCAGAAAGAACACUAGCCUUACCAACACUACCUGGCUGAGUUAAAUUAGGAGGAGGCAUUGAAGUCCCCUCCUGAAUUAGAAGGCUUUCACCUGAUUUAGCUAUUGCAGCUUUCCUAGUAAUGUUCUUUCAUGGUUUUUUUUGAAAAAUCCCACCAGGAUAUCUAAUAAGCUCAUAGCAAUGCAACGUUGAAUGGCUAGAUUCACCACAGUGGGUACAAACAUAGUUAUUUGGCUUUCAUUAACCUUGACUAUUUUUUUCUUUGGUAGAACUAGAACCUAUCCCUCGCUGGUUUCGGUUAACUAUCAUGACUGUAUUUUUAGAGACCGGUCGAGAAACUCCAAUAACUUGUCGAUGUUGUGAGUCUCUUCUCCCACAUGCGUAGGCUGCUUCCAGGUCCAGUUUUGGUUCCUUUCCAAGAAUAUCCCCACGGAUUUGAUCAUUUUCAGAAUCAAGACCGCUUAAAAAAAAUGUACUCACAAUCUCAUCAGCACCGCAUGAAGUUGUACAAUCCCUUCAAUAGAUUCUUAUUUGGAUGUGCUGCAAUAUCGAUUUCUGAAAGAUUGCAACAAGUUCAUUAUAAUAUAUGGGUAAAGGCCUACCAUUUUGAGUGGUUGAAAAGGACUUGUAAUUCAUUUCGACCAAUUGUGUUUCAUCAAAUCCAUUGUAGAAUCUCUGCAUCUAGUGGGGGCUCAUUGAUUCGAUGAGCCAGCUCUUUACUUUAUGAUUUUCGAUAAUCCAUGUAUCAUAGUUCGGAUCGUUAGGUGCAAGUUUCACUGUUGUCCCAAUUAGAUACCCAACCUUGUUGCGGGUCCCAAUAUGCAUCUCUAUCAACUGCAGCCAUAACAUAUAGUUACCAUAUACUGACGGGAAACUUGUUGAAUGAUAAUUGGGUUUGACAAAGGAUUGUGUGGAGUGGCUGGAACAAUUGGAUUUCAUUCUUGUUCUGCUAUUGUGAUUUUGUUUGUAGGAGGAAGUCCCUGGAAUACAAAGGUCAAGGGAGAAUGCAGGGAAGAAUAGUUAAAAAAAAAAAAAAAGUUUUUCAAGCCUGAGCUCUGAUAUCAUGUUGAUUACGACAUUCAACCGAAGCUUUUCAUUCUGUAAAUAUUUCUGCGCGCUACAAUGUAUUCAUCUUUUCAGGAAAUAUAUAUAUAAAGGAAGUAAAACGUCCUAGUAUGCCUAAACUCCUAUUCAGGGUAAGACUAUCUGUACAAGGAAACAACUACAAUCUUGGAAUCCAUACGUCUCGACAGCUAAUACACAAUCUUGCCAGCUACCACUAUCAAAAUGGUAGACCCGUGAUAUUUGCUGGAGAGAAACAAUGAGGCCCUUCUUGGCUCUCUCCAAUCUAUGCCCGAAGGUCGAUGUGCAUGUGAUGUGUCUUCCCACAUGAUGAUCCUGACAGAGCAAGGCCUAACACUUUUCCAGUGUCCUAAAUAGUUUGAUUAACGUGUCUUCCCAAUUUUUAUUUUUUUUAAAAAAAAACAAUAAUAAUAAUCAAAAUAUUAACUGAAAAGAGGACACAAAAUGCGUGUUGCUUGAGAUCUGGUGGUUAAAAGCGUGGCAGUCUAUUAUUUAUGAGAAACUGUUUUAAAUCAUAGAAAUUAUAACAACAUUUUCUGGCGUUAUCGUGCGAUAUCGAAAAGAUACGCGCGAAGAGAUCUACAAAGCUCGAGCGGAAGACUUGAUGACUUUGUAGAUUCAUUUAUACAGAUCCGUAUAAAUGAACGGUAUUGUUAAGAGCCGAUGUUAUUGUAAACACAACCUUUCACUAUCAAUAGAGAGGCGGAAGUCAGUCAAUACGGGUGUCUGCAACUAUGGAUUCGAUCAAGACUUUGGCCCCGAGCCGCCGUGUUUCCAAGUCCAAACACAGGAAACAAUAUAAGGUACGAACCAAAUCUAGUUAUAUUUCUAUGUUUUUCUUAUAAAGAUUAUUCUCAAUGCUUGUUUCUUGACUUGUUGUUGCUAUAUAUCAUGUCAUUAUCCCCAGAAAUUAAAAAUUAUUAUUUUUCUUAUACAUGUUAAGAAGAACAGAGAGAGGAGGGAAACUAUAGAACGAUUGAAAACAGAUAUGAUCGAGAUCGGUGAGGGACAACAACGCAUCAGAGAAGGGCAGCGAGAAAUAAGACAAAAGUUUGAAGAGAUAGGAUCUGAAUGCCGCAGCCUCAAAGAGGAGACGAUGAACAUUGCCAAGCAGAGUGAUUACAACCAAGUCAGGAUCAACCUAAUGCUUAGCAUCUUGAAAGCCCGUGAAGACAACAACUUUGCCCAUGCUGAUCACCUCACUGGGCUCCUCCGGUUGGUUAAAUUCCCUUCGCCAUUUCUUUUCUUAAUUCUUGGGAUAUUGGAUUCGAUAAUUAAUCUUGCUAAUGCUAGCUAUUACAAGGAGGGAAACAUAAGCUAACGAACUCAAAAUAAAAGAAUCAAAAUGCACUGUUGAUAAGUAAUCUUCUCUCAAUCAUUGUGUUUCCUAUUCGUUGUGUUGCCAGCGAGGAAAUGGAAAAGCAGGAACAAGGAAAGGCAGGCCUGGUUGGCUGACCAAUGAUCAUGGAAAACAAGGAGCAGUUUGCCUUUGCAGUGACUCCUGAUCGUCUUUUCUUAUUAAAAUGAAAUCAUCAGUCCUAAAUCGAGAUAUGUAUUGACAUUAGUCUUCCCUUGAUAUCCUUCUUCCUUUGAUGAAGUAUUCAUUUGAUUAAGGAUUUGCGUUCUGUGAUCCUAGUUGAAUGUUCUGAGUUAUAGUAUAUAUACUAGGUGAAUUGCCGGGCGAUGCCGCCGGUUGUUAUAUAAACGGUAUAAGCAUUCGGUUGAGUAUAACCUGAGGUAAUCGAAGAAGAAGAAGAUAGGCAGACAUAAUUAAACAAAAUGAAAAAAAAUACCAGAACUAUUGAGGUUAAACAAUGCAACCACAUGCUCUCUGUUAGAGAAACACAAAGUCUUAACUAGCCUGUUUAGCUUUGCAGUAUUCGGUUGUUUUUUUUAUUUGGAUUUUUAAAAUUUAUUUUUUAUAUUAAUAUAUUAAUUUAAAAAUAAAAAAAAAUUAUUACAAAAAUUAUUUUUUUAGAAAACAACAGUGUGGCAUCAAUAACAAACAGUCUCGAAAAGUCUCAAAUAUAAAGCCACGUGUGCAUAAUAAAUUGUAAUUAAUUUGGAAUUUAUUUUCUAAAUAUUACUAAUUUAAAUGUUAUAAAUCUCAAAGUAAUUUAUCUGAUUUUUAAUUUUAUAGUUUUGAAAAAUUAAUCAAAAUAUAAAUAAGUUGGUCUAGACAUUUAUGAUUAUAUAUAAAAAAAAACAAGAAGAAAAGAAAAAAUUAAAGAGCUCCAGACUUUUUGACCGUGCAUUCUCAUUUCACUUUGAAUUCCAGUGAAAUUAUUAUUUUCCUUUGGAAAAAAGAACUUGUUUAACUUUGUCUCAGGUGUAGAGAGGUGUUUUCAAUGGGAUUUAUUAGCUAUCAUUAUUUUUAAUAGGGAGAAGUUAGUUUGUUUGCGUUUUAAAUAAAGUGUAAUGAUUUAAACACUUUUAAAAGUAAAGAAAAAAAACUAGUAGAAAUAGUUUUAUGGUUUUAUAGUAAAAGAAUCAUACUAUCAUUAAAAAAAUAUAUUAUAAAACUUGCAUUUAAAAAUAUUUAGGUCUUUUCAUCUUUUCAACACGGUUAUUUUGUAAUUAUAUAUUUGGAUUAAAAACAAUUAAAUCUUUAAUCAUAUAUAAAAAAAAAAUUAAAUGGUUGAUGUGUGUCUCACAUGCGUUAAUAAGCGGAAAGUGCUUAUGCUCUUCGGGUUAUAUGUGUCUACCCUAUCAAUAGUUAAAAGUUUGUGUCAAUGACAAUGUUUGAAACGGUGGGUCAUCCUCUUUGUAGUGGUGGGAUGCUUGUUCAUGAAUGAAUUGCGGUUGAACUUCUUAUAAACAUUUUUUUUUCUCGCUCUCUCCUAGUUUAGAAAUUGACACCAACUCUUUUAAAAAUCUAUUAUCUAUUGUGUUCUUUAAUUUGUGUUUUUAUUAUUUUUUAUCCUUAUUUUAUUUAUUUUCAAUUGUUUUUACUUUUAAUGCAUUUUAAUCUUUAAUUGUUUUGCAAUUUCAUCCAUAUGAAUUUUAUUUUAUUUAAUUUUUAUAUCAAAUUUGAUUUUUUUUUUGUUUUUAUACUUUUCUAGAUUUAUUUUUCAAUUUUACCUCUCAUUAUUUUAUUUUUGUAUUCAAUUUUAAUCCUUAUUUUUUAUUGCUAUUUUUUGUUAUUUUCUUAAUUUUUUUCAUUUUUAAUUUUAGUCCCUCAUUGUUUGUUUGUUUGUUUCAUUUAGCUUUUAUGCUAGAUUUAGUCAUUGUUGUUUUGAUUGUUAUUUAUUUAGGCUUUUAAUUUUGGAUAAUUAAUGAUUUUGCUUAGUGAUUUUUUAUUGUUUUUUUUAUGAGGUAAUCUCGAUUUUAUGAACCAGGUCAUCAUUUUCGAGGAUUAAUCUGAUUUAACUUUUAUCUUUUCAUUUCUUAAAAAAAAAAAACCAAAAUGAUUAUUUUUUAAUUUCAUCAUUUUAUUUUAGGUUAUCAGGUCUAGAGUGUUUUUUUUUUUUUGCUUUCCUUUAUGUGGUGUUAUUCCGGUGUUAUAUCUUAGGUUAAGUUUUUUUCGAGUUAACCCAGGUUCAUUCAAGUUUUUUUUUUUUUGAAUCUUUUUCAAUUUAGUUUUUCCGAAUUUAAUCUCUUAAUAUUAAGUCAUUGAGUCUUGAAUUUUUGUUUUUCAAUGAAUUUAACAUGUUCUCAAAUCUUGAAUCUCAAAAUUUUCUUUUUUCUAUUUUUUAUAUUUUUUGAAAUUAAUUUUUUUAUCUCAUUAUUUAAAGUUAUGUUAUUAGACAUUCAAUUUUGUAAUAUUUUUUAUUUUUUUAUUGUAAAUUAUCAUGGAUAGUUAGUUAGUCAAAUUAACUUAGGUUAACAAAGUUUUUUUUUAAUAUUUUUUAUUUCACUAUCAUCUCGAGGUCAUUGUUUUUAAAAAAUUAUUUUUUUUAAUCUUGAUCUGGGUCGCAUGGUAGUCCAACUAAUCUGAGUUAAGUUAAAGUUUUUCUCAAUGUUUUUAUAAAUAAUUUGUUUUUUAAUUUUACCAGGCUCACAACAGUGUAGCGUAAAACUAAAAGUUGUAUCAUAAGAAGGUUGAGGACAUUUGUAGGUCGGCUAAUGCUGGCCAUAAAUAGCCAUGUAUGUGAAGCUAUGCAGGUGUGCUAGUGGACACAAAAACACUUAUGCAGAAAAGUGUGCUGAAUGUUCUGGUAGUUCCAAAAAGAAUCACAUAAAUAGUUGUGAAAUUUAAUAUUUUAAAGUUGUUUUAUGGGAAACAUGAUAUUUCAAAAAUAUAUUUGUUAAAUGACUUCACAAUUUACGAUGACGAGAGAAAAAUAAAAUAAAUACUUUAAUUAUACAUCAAAUCUAUCAUCAAAAUAACUCGACGAUGUGAAUCUAAUAAAAUUAAAGAAGUUCACCAAGUAGAUCACACUCAUUGAAGCUCUAAUUAUAAUAUCACUAGUAGCAUUAUAAAGUUCUGGACAAAAUAAAUCAAAUAUAAACAAUAAAGAUAAUCAAUGAUAAUGAUAAUUGAAGUGGGUCAUAUAUAAUAGGCGGAAAACAUGGUGAAAUCUAGGGUUAAGAUUAAAAAAGAUGAUGGAAGGGAAGAUGAAGGUGAAGAUGGAGAACAAUAAUCAGAUUAGCGAGAAGAACAGGUAUCAAAAUUCUGGAUGGAGAAGUUCCAGUUUUCCAGACUGCAACAGUAGAAAUGAUAAGAACACCUGCUAAGAAGGCCAGUAAUCUGUCGUGAAUGAAGAAAUUCAUGGAUGGUAGCAGCGAGAUUUAGCAUGAAGCAUUUAACUUGUUUUCUCUAUUGUAAUUCAUGUCGCUAGAGGUAAUAGAAUUGCACUUGUCUUGCCAGCAUUUAUAGAGAUAUGAAUCUGUUGAAAGGGAAAUUAAAUCGUAGAGUCAACCUUGUUGCGGAUUCCAAAGGGAAACCAUGAUGGUUUAACAGUUAAGCUUUGGUCAUCAAUGCAAUUGGUUCAGGUUGGGGUUUGGAAGAGGUUCGGUGAACUGCGGCGGCCGGAGCCUAAUCUGAUUAGGAGUGGGUACCCUAGGUUGGUUCGGUGGAACAAAUUGAAACUGGAAGUUGAGAAUGUUUCGUUGGUUCUAGACUCGGAUAAAGAGAGUUUUAGCUCUGGAAAACUGGGAUUUCCUCAAGUUUUAUGGAGAAAAAGAAAGGUGGGCCGGCGACUGUUGGUUCUAGUUUGAAAGACGAUUUAAUGGCAUUUGCUCGAGGCGUCAACGCUGUGUGGAGUUGGCUGUUCAGAACAGUAUUUACCUCAUAGGGUUGCAAUGCAAUUCGGAACCGACGAAGAUCUUUCAGGGUUGUGUUGGUCAAUGCUCUAAUUAACAGACCUGAGAUUGCAGAGAGCUUAAAGCUUUUGUUGAGAGCUUGAGCAGAUGAUCACACGAAUAAAAACAGCAAGAUUAAGACAAAAAUUGUUAACCUAGCUAGCCUUCUUCGUGAGAACGAUUUGCUUGAUUUUAUUUUAUUUGAAUUCAUGGCUUCUCUUCUCCUGUUGGCUAUGCUACUAACAUGGCAGGAGGCAUUGCAGCAGGUCCUAGAUGGAUAACUCCCGCCAUUAACAACAGAUGCAGAACAAGGUUAAAAGGAUAAUAGAAAUAAAUAUAUUCAUAAAGUAACCAUGCACUAUGGCAUGAAGUUAUUAUCACAGUGUGCAGACAAAUGCCGUGUGCUGCUGUACCCAACGCAGAGCCUACUAGGCGUUAUCUGUUCUGCCCACCCAAUCCUGACUAGAUAAGCACUUGAGAGUUUUUUUUCUUAUUUUAUGAAGUUGAUUUGAAGUGUUGAUUUGAUAUAAAAAUUUUAAGGAGAGAUAUUUUCCUUCAAAUAUUAAGACCAAUUUGAAAUUUGUAGAUUAACUUACAAAUUUUUAAUAAUUUUUAUUAAAAAUUAUCUUUUAUUUAUUUAUAUAAUAGUUUAAAUAAAAGCAAUAGAAACUAGUAGAAUUCAGCAUUAAUUAAAUUGAUUUAGAUUUAGAUAACUUUAUAAAUAUCAAAUCCAAAUAAAUUAUAACUAAUUUAAAAUCAAUCAAAUAUUAAAAGAAUUUUUUAAUAUUAAAACAAUGAUAUAUUAAAUCAAUCUAAAACUUUACACUUUAAUUUGUAAAACCCGUAACUUGAACCAUGAACUCCACUUGAAAAAUUAAAAAAAAUUAAAUUAUUAUGAUCAUCAAGCACAAACAACAAUAAUAAUUCAGGAUUUUUACUGAAAGUAGAAUCCAUCAUACAUGUUGUUGAUUAUUGAGUUAUAAUCGGUCCGUACAUGAAAAGGAAUGAAUUUAGAGUUAUUAAACUCUGUCGACCGGUGGAUGGACUGAUCUGGGUUUGUUAAAAGACCAACCGGUGCAAUGAUCCGGCAAAACCCAGUCAACCUGUAAGAUUCCACAUCGGGGGGUGAGGGGUGUGUUGCUGGCCUUAUAAGUGGUACUGGUUGCCGACUUGUUAUACGCGUUUUGGGACGUCAGGCUUAGAAUUAGGCUCGCGUCACCAGGAACAAAACCGUGAGGGCGGUAAGGCCUAAAGCGGACAAUAUAUGACAAGUUGGGCCGGGCCGUUACACGACCCGUGACCCAGAUAAAACCCGAAUUUUUUUUUUUAAAAUGUGGUUUUUCUUCUACACUCCCUUUUUUAUUUUUAUUUUAGUUGGUUAUUAACACUUUUUAAAGUUCACUAUAUAAAUACUAGAAAUAUAUAUUUUUUUUUCAAUGUGGGAUUGAAACCCUUUAGAAUAUACUUUAUGUUUCCAAGAAAAAAGUUAUUUUUUUAAUGUAAGAUUUCAAGCCCUUUCAUAUAUAUACUUUAUGAUCAUAAGAAAAAAGUUGUGUUUUUUUAAAGUGAGAUAUAAAACCCUUUAGUACAUAUACUCUAUGUUCCUAAGAAAAAAGUUUUUUCAAUAUGUGAUUUGAAGCCUUUUCGUAUAUAUACUCUAUAUUCACAAGAAAAAUAUUAUGUUUUUUCAAUGCGGGAUAAUAAGUUUUUUGGUUUAAAUAUUUCAACUUAAAAGGAUGACAUAAUAUAUUUUCAAUGUGAGAUUUGAAACUCUUUAAUAUAUAUAUAUAUACACACCUAUGUUUCCAAAAAAAAAAUUAUUUUUUUAAUGUGGGAUUUGAAGUCUUUUCAUAUAUAUAUCAUAUCGUCACAAAAAAAAAUUAUAUGUUUUUUAAUGUAAGCUUUAAAAAUUUUAUUAUACUUUACAAUCUUCCAAAAAAAAAAAAGUUUUGGAUUAAUCCAAUUAACCUGUCUACCUUUGUAGCUGAUUUAAUAACUUUGGGAUGUAAGGAAUAUCUAAAAUAGUCUUAGAACAACUCACAUUUGUUUGCUAUCGAUUUGAAAAGUGAAAGUUGCUCUCUCGUAAUGUCUGCUUUUAAAAUCAAAAGAAUCUAACAUUAAAUGCGGGGUAUUGUUGCCGUUGCAUAUUUUUAUUUUCUGUUUUAUAAAACUAAAAACAGUUUUUUUCAUAAUUUUCAGGUUUUUUCAUUUUGUUUUAAUGACCCCAGUUAACGUGUUUGAGCGUAAUUGUGUUUGAUUUUGAAAAUUUUUUUUACUCAGAAAGUAUGUUAUUUUUAAAAAAAUUAUUUUUAAAAUCAACACAUCAAAAUGAUUUGAAAACAUUAAAAACAUAUUAAUUUAAAAAAAAAAUUAAAUUUUUAAAAAUACUUAUACAGUGCCAAACAUGUUAUCACCACCUUUAUUUUCCCAUAUUUAGAAGUUAUUUAAAAAACAGAAACCAAAGAUACAAAACGGCAACCAUGACCAUGCCAGGGCUAAACAAAAGCUCUACAAGACCAAUCCACGAGAGUUAAACUCCAUUUAAUCAAGAUUUGAAUGUGCUGGGCAAUGAAAGCCCACGAUUAUAUAAAAUAAUAAAAAAAAAAAAAUCAAAGAGUGGAAUGCUUGACUAUAACUGUAAAACCAAGCCUAGUCCAAUAAAUCCAUGUAAAAAUCCGAUAAUUCAGAACCUAGAUUAAUUUGCUCAAUGAUCAUGAUUUAUGACCUAAUCAAUUUAAUUACAUUAAAGCUGAACAUGAUUUAGUCAAGAUUUAUCCUAGUUAAAAGAAAAAAAAAUUCCAUAAAAUCUUAACCUGAGAAUCGAGGUCAUUUUCUUCGAGCAAGCAACGAAUCUCAAACAAAAAAAAAAAAUACACUAGGUGAAAUCAUCAGCCCUCAACCUAGAUAUGUGUUGGAAUUCGUCUUCCCUUAAUAUCCUUCUUCCUUUGAUGAAGUUUUCAUUUGAUUAAGGAUUUGUGUUCUCUGUUCCAAGUUGAAUGUUUUGAGUGACAAUACAUACUAGGUGAAUUGCCAGGUGAUGCCGCCGGUUGUUAUAUAAACACGAUGUAAGCAUUCGGUUGAGUAUAACCGGCGGUACUCGAAGAAGAAGACACGCAGACAAAUUAAACAAAAUGAAAAAAAUAAUACCAGAAGUAUUGAGGUUAAACAAUGCAACCACGUGAUUUAUGUUAGAGAAACGUAAAGUGUUAACUAGCUUGUUUAGAUUUGCAGUAUUCGGUUGUUUUUUUUUAUUUUUAUUUAAUUUAUUUUUAAUAUUAAUUAUUAAUUUUAAAAUAAAAAAAUUAAUUAAAAAAUCAUUUUUUUUACUAAAAAAUAGUGUGGCUUCAAUAACAAACAGUUUGGAAAAGUCUCAAAUACAAAGCCACACGUGCAUAACAAAUCGUAAUUAACUUGAAGGUGUCAAGAUCUGAACUCUGAGCUUUGGGAGGUUAGUAGGAAUGUCGAGGGCAUUUGGAGGCAGAAAUCCCGCCAAAACUGGUGCAAAAUGGGGAUAAAAACACUCGGUUCUUCCAUCUUUCGACAAGCUUGAGGAAUGGUCGGAACCACAUUAGCAAGAUUGAGCAGAAUGGCAGAUUUUUUAGACUCUCCCAAAUGACAUCAAAGAGGGGUGCUGUCAACUUCUUCUCAAGUCUGUUUGCCAAGCCACAAUGAAGAGAAUUGAAAUGGGAGACUCAAGGUUUCUCUAAAUUUCAGAGAAAGUUCAGUUUGGUUAGAAAGACUACCUUCAUUGGAGGAAGUGAAGCAAGCCGUAUGGGAUUGUGAUGGUUCAAAAGCCCCGGUCCUGACGGGUUCACCUUCUCCUUCUAUAAAAAGGAAUGGAAUCUUAUCAGCCCUGACAUCUUUGUGAUGGUCACAGAAUUUUUCAGAACAGGUAAAUUACCAAAGGGGAUCGGCUCGUCCUUCGUGACUUUGAUCCAAAGACCAAGAGGCCGAGCACUUUCUCCCAAUUUCGACCAAUUAGUUUGAUUCAUGGGUUAUAUAAAAUAGUGGCAAAGCUCUUGUCCACUAGGCUCCGAAGCAUUCUACCAGAUGUGAUAAGUGUAAACCAGUCUGCUUUCAUUGCGGGCGUCAGAUUCUAGAUGGGUUCAUGAUAGCAAACGAGGUUGUCCAUAGUAUUCGUAGCAAAAGGACCACGGGUUUUUGCUAAAGGUAGAUUUUCAUAAAGCCUUCGACUCGAUUUUAUGGGAGCAUAUCGAUUCUACCAUGGGUUAUAUGGGUUUUGGAUCUCACUGGAGGAAACUGAUCUUUGAAUGCAUGUCCACUUCUAAAUUGGCCAUCCUGAUUAAUGGCUCACCAAGCAGAGAAUUCAGUAUGGAGAGGGGUCUCAGGCAAGGGGACCCCCUCUCUCCUUUCCUUUUUGACAUAGCAGUUCAGGGGUAACAGUUCUAUUCAACAGGGCAUCAGAUUCAGGUUACUUUAAAGGUUUGCAGACUUCGCAAGGACAUCACAUAACCCAUUUGCAAUAUGCAGAUGACACUCUUAUUUUCCUGCCAAUGAUUAUACCUCUCUACUGCAUGUCAAGAGGAUCCUCCGCUGGUUUGAGAUCAUUUCAGGACUGAAAGUUAAUUUCUAUAAAAGCUCACUUAUAGGAAUUAAUUUGGAUAACGAAUACACUUCAGGUCUGGCUAACACAAUUUUGUCGCAGUGACUCCUUUCCCAGUCAGAUACCUUGGGUUGCCUCUUGGUGCUAACCCAAAUAGGCUCUCCACUUGGAAACCGGUAUUGUCCACAAUCAGAGCAAAGUUAAGCAAAUGGAAAGGGAAGUUUUUGAGCAUGGCCGGAAGGAUAUGUCUUAUUAAAUCUGUCUUAAACUCUCUACCUCUAUACUAUAUGUCGGUCUUUACUAUGCCAAAGGGCAUUGCAAAAGCAAUAUCCUCAAUCACCGUUUUUUCUCUGGAAGGGCUCCUCAAAUUCACAUGGUAUUUGUAAGGUUGCUUGGCAUAAGGUAAUUAAGAGUAAGCCACUUGGAGGUCUCGGGCUUGGUUCUAUUCACAGUAAAAAUCUGGCUCUGAUGUUUAAAUGGCUUUGGAACCUUGACAAAGGAGUGGCAGGAGGUUGGCAAGAACUCAUCUUACGAAAGUACCGGCCACAUUUUACAAAUGGCCUUCCUGUGUUUGCAGGUUCUUUAUCUCCAACUUGGCGUGGCAUGGUAUCUGCAAUUUCCUUAAAUCACAGCAUAGCCGCUCCCAUCCAAUCCAAUGUUGGGUUUAAGGUGGGUGAUGGGAGAAACAUCAGGUUUUGGUCUGAUUCUUGGCUAGGCUAUGCAGCCCCUCUCCAGUUCAUGUUCCCUAGGCUCUACAACCUCUCCCUGCAGCAAUCUUUAAGCGUUGCAGAAGUUCAUAACCCAACAGAUAACUCAAUCAAUCUUUCUUGGAGAAGACCCCUUCGAUCCCGAGAACUCUGCAUGUGUGAAAGCUUGAUAGCAGAAGUGGAACGUGGCCUAGUCUUCUCUGAUGGUGAAGACAACAAGAUUUGGAAACACCAUAGCUCCAACAAUUACACAGUCUCCUCUGGGUGCCAUCUCUUUGACGGUUUAAAUGUUUCAGGACAUCUUCACUCCCCUGCUUUGCUUUGGAAAGGGUUUGCGCCUCCAAAAAUAGAUGUGUUCAUAUGGCUUCUUUUCAAUGGCAGUGUCUGCACAAAGGGUUUCUUAGCUGAGAGGAGAAUCAUCAAUUAUGAGGAAGCUCUUUGUCCUUUCUGCUGCAAGGAGAUUGAGACUAUACAUCAUCUCUUCCAUCUUUGUCCAAAAUCAUGGUCUCUUUGGGGCAGACUAUUUAGUUGGUUUGGGUGUGUAGGUUGUCUGCCAAAAGACCAUAUGAUAACCUUCAGGAAUGGUCCAACAUGGUAAAAAGGAAAAUUUCAGCGUCAGGCAAUUACCCUUCUCUGUAAAGGAUUAUACUGGUCAAUUUGGAUAGCGCGCAACCACAUGAUCUUUGACAACAAAACUCCAGACUGGGAUGUGAUUUUUGACCUCACCUUUCAUCAGUUAGCCUUUUGGUUGAAGUCCUUUGUUAAAAAUUUCAGCUAUAUAAGCUCUGAUCUUUAUAGGAAUCCUGAAUGUAUCAUGAACUGGACUAACUAGUCAGGUCUAUAGAUUCCUUGUUUUCUUAAUGUUUUUUUAAUUCCCCAUGUAAUCUUCCUUAGCAGCCCUCAUCUCUUUAAUGGGGACGUAUUAUUUAUAAUAUUCUCGAUUACUAUAUAUAUAAAAAAAACUUGAAGGUGUCACCCAAUUAAUUAGAUUUUUAGUUUGCUUUCGAGAUAUUAGUAGUUCGAGUUCUGUAAAUCUUAAAAUUACUAGAGGUUUAUUUGGUUGUUACCUUCAGAGCCUGAACCUCUAGAAAUUAGUCGAGUUACACGUAAACUGACUUUUAUUUUUAAUUUAGUCUCUCAUUGUUUUUUUCAUUUAACUUUUAUGCUAGAUUUAGUCAUUGUUGUUUCGAUUGCUAUUUAUUUUAUUUUUAAAUUUUGGAUGAUUAAGGAUUAUGCUUAGUGAUUUUUUAUUAUUUGCCUUUAAUGAUAUAAUCUCGAUCUAAUGAACCGGGUUACUAUUUCGAGGAUUAAUUCGAUUUCACUUUGGUUUUUUAUUUAUUUUUUUAAACAAAAUAAUUACUUUUUAAUUUCAUCAUUUGAUUUUAGGUUAUUAGGUCUAAAUUUUUUUUUUCUCCUUUAUGUGGUGUUAUUCUGGUGUUAUAUCUUAGGUUGAGUGUUUUUCGAGAUAACUCAGGUUUUUUUUAAUUUAGUUUAUUUAGUUUAUUUUAUUUAAUUUUUUAAUAUUAAAUUAUUGAACCUUAAAAUUUAUAUUUUGUUUUGUAUUUUUUUUAUAAGUUUAACAUGAUCUUAAUGUCGUUGUUUAUUUUUUAAAUUAAUUUUUUUAAUCUGGAACUCCCAUCAUGGGUCGCAUGGUAGUCCAACUAAUCUGAGUUAAGUUAAAGUUUUUUCAAAUUUUUUUUUUUUACCAGUCGCACUGUGUAGCGUAAAACUAAAAGUUGUAUCAGAAGAAAUGUGUAGGACAUGUGUAGGUCGGCUAAUGCUGGCCAUAAAUAGCCAUGUCUGUGAAGCUAUGCAGGUGUGCUAGUGGAGACAGAAACACUUAUGCAGAAAAGUGUGACGUAUGUUCCGGUAGUUCCAAAAAGAAUCAGAUAAAUAGUUGAGAAAUUUAAUAUUUUAAAGUUGUUUUAUGGGAAACAUGAUAUUUCAAAAAUAUAUUUGUUAAAUGACUUCACAAUUUACGAUGACGAGAGAAAAAUAAAAUAAAUACUUUAAUUAUACAACAAAUCUAUCAUAAAAAAAACUCGACCAUGUGAAUCAAAUAAAAUUAAAGAAGUUCACCAAGUAGAUCACACUCAUUGAAGCUCUAAUUAUAAUAUCACUAGCAGCAUUAUAAAGUUCUGGACAAAAUAAAUCAAAUAUAAACAAUAAAGAUAAUCAAUGAUAAUGAUAAUUGAAAUGGGUCAUAUAUAAUAGGCGGAAAACAUGGUGAAAUCUAGGGUUAAGAUUAAAAAAGAUGAUGGAAGGGAAGAUGAAGGUGAAGAUGAAGAACAAUAAUCAGAUUAGCGAGAAGAACAGGUAUCAAAAUUCUGGAUGGAGAAGUUCCAGUUUUCCAGACUGCAACAGUAGAAAUGAUAAGAACACCUGCUAAGAAGGCCAGUAAUCUGUCGUGAAUGAAGAAAUUCAUGGAUGGUAGCAGCGAGAUUUAGCAUGAAGCAUUUAACUUGUUUUCUCUAUUGUAAUUCAUGUCGCUAGAGGUAAUAGAAUUGCACUUGUCUUGCCAGCAUUUAUAGAGAUAUGAAUCUGUUGAAAGGGAAAUUAAAUCGUAGAGUCAACCUUGUUGCGGAUUCCAAAGGGAAACCAUGAUGGUUUAACAGUUAAGCUUUGGUCAUCAAUGCAAUUGGUUCAGGUUGGGGUUUGGAAGAGGUUCGGUGAACUGCGGCGGCCGGAGCCUAAUCUGAUUAGGAGUGGGUACCCUAGGUUGGUUCGGUGGAACAAAUUGAAACUGGAAGUUGAGAAUGUUUCGUUGGUUCUAGACUCGGAUAAAGAGAGUUUUAGCUCUGGAAAACUGGGAUUUCCUCAAGUUUUAUGGAGAAAAAGAAAGGUGGGCCGGCGACUGUUGGUUCUAGUUUGAAAGACGAUUUAAUGGCAUUUGCUCGAGGCGUCAACGCUGUGUGGAGUUGGCUGUUCAGAACAGUAUUUACCUCAUAGGGUUGCAAUGCAAUUCGGAACCGACGAAGAUCUUUCAGGGUUGUGUUGGUCAAUGCUCUAAUUAACAGACCU